UUUUUUUUUGUAAAACAGGCAAACUCUGGAUGAAUAGACAAAUUCACAGAUCCUGAAAAAACAUCCACGGGCUGAAUCUGGGCGGACUGGGCUGCUCACAUUGGGCUUGAGGAGGCGCUGGGCAUCUGGGCUGCGAGCGAAGCAGAGGAGCUGGGCCUUGGUGCCUGUCGAUGGAGGCGGCCCAGUUUGGUGGAUCUCGAAGCCGAUUGGCUUGGCACUGGGCCUUGGCGCGAUUGAACCAGGAGGCAAGGCGUGGUUAACGCGUCCACGACCCGCGUAUGGCAACGGUCGACUUGUCUCGGCCCGCACGAAGCAGAGGCACGGCGAGGCGGGACUUGAGUGGCCGGAGCGACCGGAACGGGAGGCAGAGCUCGCCGGGGAUGGAGGGGUCCGGGCACGGGUCCAUGCAAAUGGGGCGGCGUGCUCCGGUGGAAGGGGCGCAGGGCUUGCGGAGACGGCGACGAACGGAGCAGGGCGGCGGAGGAGCUGCAAGGACAUGCAGGGGAACAAGUUCAGAGAAGAAGCGGUGAGGGAGGAAGGAAAAACGAGAAGGAGAGGGACGGGAAGAGGGAGGUGGACCAGGAUCCCGUCGCAGGAGGUCGCCGGUGUGCCCAUUCCCUGCUGGAUCAACACGGCGGCAGGCUGGCGGACUUGGAGCUCCAAGCUUCGAAGGGCGCGGCCAUGGCGUGGUGCUUCUGUGGGGAAAACACAGAGAGGGGCGAACGUGAGAGGAGGGAGACGGGGAGGAAUAACUGCCGGAGGAGGAAGGAGAAGAAAGGGAAGGCACCGGGCACAGGGAACCUCGGGAGGUUGCUGCUUGGUGGUCCAGCGAGGUCCUGCGGGGGCGCUCGAGGCAGCAGGGGGUCGGGGAGGCCAUGGCAGUUCCUGCCAACGGCAAGAGGUCAGGCCACACGGAGAGGCAGGGGCGACAAGAAGAAACAGGGGGAGAAAAGGAGGGCGGCGACUCAUCUGCUAGCUGAUUCGGGCACUCGGGAGGAGCUCGUCUCCCUGGGUCGACGAGGAGAGAGAGGAGGGAGAGGAUCGAUGGGCUUGGGUGGAUCGAGGGGAAGCAGAGGCUGGUUGGUUCGGUGGUGAAAUCGAGGAAGGGAAGGAGACGGCGCUGGUUGGGCAGGUGGAUCGGGGUGGAUCCCGAUGGGGAUUUGGUGGAAUGGCGGCGGCGGCUGGGAGGAUGGGACAUCUCUCCUCAAAUUUAGGGUUGGACUAUAUAUAUAGCAAAAGGAUUUUUGGGUAGGGGCUAAUUCGUCCCUCCGAUCGUAAUCGGAUGGUCGGGAAAAGUAGGUAGGGAGCCCAAAUAAGAAAACGGAGACAUUUUGUAGAUGUUUGGGGAUGAUCCGGACACAACGGUGGCGAUAGUCCGGGUCGGGUUCGGGACAACUUUCGGAUGCACAUGUGAGGAGGGCCGCGAGCUGACGAGAGAGGUUAGGUUGGGCCUGGCGGGAAGCAGUGGGCUGUGUAGACGGUCUCGAGCUGAGAGAAGGGAAGAGAGAGAGAGAGAGAGAGAGAGAGAGAGAGAGAGAGACCGGGUGACUGUUUCCGGAGACCGAAAACGUCCGACGUUAGACCGGCUAUAAUACCGCUAUAGUUUAACGGUUGGGCUAUCAAACGAACUCCGAAUGUGAUGAAACUUGACAGGCGGUCUAUCUACACUAUAAUAAGACUGCACGCCAAAUUUCAACCCAAUCCGAGAACAUUUUCCGGCCACUUAUAAAAUAAUAUUUCGGACGUGCCGCGGGCGCGUGCAAGUGUGUCUGGGUUCAGAACGGACAACGGAAAGAACAAGGAGACCGGGACGGAUGCAAGUUUUGAAAACAUGAUGAUGCAAUGCACAUGAUGGCAUGGUAUGCAAUGCAUGACACACAAGCACAUGACAAGGCAACAACAACGAAUAACUGGAGGACACCUAGCACAUCGGUCUCGGGGCGUCACAGUUUAUCCCUCUACAUCAUGUCAUCUUGCCUAAUGCGCUCUGUUCUUAUGAACUUAAUACUCUAGAUGCAUGCUGGAUAGCGGUCGAUGUGUGGAGUAAUAGUAGUAGAUGCAGAAUCGUUUCGCUCUACUUGUCGCGGAUGUGAUGCCUAUAUACAUGAUCAUGACUAGAUAUUCUCAUAAUUAUGCACUUUUCUAUCAAUUGCUCGACAGUAAUUUGUUUACCCACCAUAAUACUUAUGCUAUCUUGAGAGAAGCCACUAGUAAAACCUAUGGCCCCUAGGUCUAUCUUCCAUCAUAUAAGUUUCCAAUCUAUUUUAUUUUGCAAUCUUUAUUUUCCUAUCUAUAUAAUAAAAAUACAAAAAAUAUUUAUCUUAUUAUCUCUAUCAGAUCUCACUCUCGUAAGUGACCGUGAAGGGAUUGACAACCCCUUUAUCGCGUUGGUUGCGAGGUUCUUAUUUGUUUGUGUAGGUGCGAGAUGACUUGCAUGUAGUCUCCUACUGGAUUGAUACCUUGGUUCUCAAAAACUGAGGGAAAUACUUAUGCUACUUUGCUGCAUCACCCUUUCCUCUUCAAGGGAAAAACCAACAUAGUGCUCAAGAGGUAUGAAAGGGAUCGAGAAGAGGUGUCUAGAGGGGGGGUGAAUAGACACUUAGCAAAGAAAAGUGGCAGUUUUCAAUUUCUUCAAGUUGAGGUGGAGUAUUAGCACAUGUUUAAACAUUCACAAUACAUAUCAAGCAAGCAUGACAAGAGUAUAUAGGCAGCAGAAAGUAAAGCAUGCAACUUUGCAAGAAUGUAAAGGGAUGGGAUUGGAGUUUGCAAACGCAAUUGGAGACACGAAGAUUUUUGGCGUGGUUCCGAUAGGUGGUGCUAUCGUACAUCCACGUUGAUGGAGACUUCAACCCAUGAAGGGUAACGGCUGCGCGAGUCCACGGAGGGCUCCACCCACGAAGGGUCCACGAAGAAGCAACCUUGUCUAUCCCACCAUGGCCAUCACCCACGAAGGACUUGCCUCACUAGGGUAGAUCUUCACGAAGUAGGAGAUCUCCUUGCCCGUACAAACUCCUUGGUUCAACUCCACAAUCUUGACGGAGGCUCUCAAGUGACACCUAACCAAUCUAGGAGACACCACUCUCCAAAAGGUAAUAGACGGUGUGUUGAUGAUGAACUCCUUGCUCUUGUGCUUCAAAUGAUAGUCUCCCCAACACUCAACUCUCUCCCAUAGGAUUGGAUUUGGUAGAAAGAUGAUUUGAGUGGAAAGCAACUUGGGAAGGGCUAGAGAUCCAGAUUUAUGUGUUUGGAAUGGAAUAUAUUAACCUCAACACAAGUGUAGGUGGUUCUCUCUCAGAAAAUGUAUGAUGGAAGUGUAGGCAUGUUCUGAUGGCUCUCUUUUUGAAUGAAGAGUGGCUGGAGGGGUAUAUAUAGCCUCCACACAAAAUCUAACCGUUACACAUAACUUGCCAAACUCGGUGGGACCGAAUCAGAAAACUCGGUCAGACCAAUUUAGUUCAUAAUGUGACCGUUAGGAGUUUCGGUGGGACCGAUAUGAUCAACUCAGUAGGACCAAUGUGCUAGGGUUAGGGUAAAGCCUCAUCUCGGUUUGGCCGAUUACACAAACUCGGUGGGACCGAUUAGGGUAAUAAGUGAAACAGAGAGUUGGCCAAGCAAACUCGGUGAGACCGGUUGCAUAUUUCGGUGGGACCAAAAUUAUUGUAAUAGGCAACAGAGAGUUUGCAAGCCCAUCUCGGUGAGACCGAGAUCCCAUCGGUGAAACCGAAUUGGCUAGGGUUUCUGGCAAUGGCUAUGUCAACAGAACUCGGUGGCGCCGGAUAGAAAGAUUCGAUAGGGCUUAGUUUGUCUUUUGGUUUGGGAAAAAUGUGGAUGUGAGAAAGUGGUUGAGGGCUUUGGAGCAUAUCACUAAGCACUUUGAGCAAGCAAGCCAUUAAGCAACACCUCAUCCCCUUUUAAUAGUAUUGGCUUUCCUAUGGACUCAAUGUGAUCUUGGAUCACUAAAAUAGAAAAUGUAGAGUCCAAAGCUUUGAUCUUGAGCCAAUCCUUUGUCCUCAUCAUCUUGAUGGGGUUCCACAUCCUCUAGUCCAUGCCACUCCACUGUUGAACUUAUCUGAAACAUACUAGAUGAAAACAUUAGUCCAACAAGAGAUAUGUUAUCAUUAAUUACCAAAAUCACCCAGGGAGCACUUGUGCUUUCAGUCUCCCCCUUUUUGGUAAUUGAUGACAACAUACAUUGAAGCUUUAGAUAAAGAUAUGAAGAAUGACGAGUAAAGCUUUGGAACGAUAUGUAACAUGCAUAGGCUCCCCCUACAUGUAUGCAAUCAUGUAAAUAUGGAAUAUAGGAGCAUGUGAAUGCAUAAGCAUGACAGAGUAAGCCAUGAGUUACAUGUAUCUUGGCUAUAUGCAUUAGAGUAAAUGGUGUGAGUAUGGGAAAUGUACCUACAUGCUCAUGAGUCUUUCUUGCAAACAGUAUGUACAUCAGCAAGAAAUCCUCAUGCACAUGAAUGUGAUGCAUAUACUUACCUUGUGGUCUUGAGCUGGCAUUGAGAGAGAUGAACCUGGGUAAACAAGGUUAGAUAACACAGAAACUUCUACUAAGCAAAGCAAACAACAAACCACAAGAGUACCAAGAUUGGGAUGACAUGUAGAGAGUGAAUACUAGGUACUCUAUUGUAUAUAGACAUGUCCCCGAAAGGUAAAGAUAUGCAAUGAAUUCAAUGAAUUCCUUCCCUAGCGGUCUUUCUCCCCCUGAAUCUUGUAUUGGAUAGUGGGAGACCAUACGGAAGCAAAAUCAGAGUAAAACAGAUCAUAAACAUAAGCAUGACAUAGACAUGUCUUUUCCCCUCUUAAAGACAUGUGACUUCUCUCCUCUUGUACGCCAAGCAUCUGGGAUCUUUGAUGUGAUUACCUCCCUCUCCCUUUUUAUCUCUCUCCCCCUUUGAAGAGAAUAAGCUUUGAUGUGAUCUCUCUCCCCCUUUGACAUCAAUUUCCAAGAAGGGAUCUUCUGGAGUGUGAGUCAAAAUAGGUUUGGUCCUUGAGUCACAAAGCAAAGCAGCGUAUGUAAUGUGAUGCUGGUAGAGGACAAGAAUCAUUGAGUGGAGCUGGAAUAAAACUAUAGGAACAUAUGGCAAAUUGUCUUCUCUACAGUGAAAUCGAUGAUAUCGAGUUGUAGUCUUCGGUGGUACCGAAUUGGUUCGGUUUGACCGAAAGCAAUAGAUCGGUAUGGCUGAGUUCAACACAGAGAGAACACUUGUCACCUCAGCUCACUAGGCAAAUAAGAUCUCUCAGGGAUUUGCAAGGAAUUAAAUGAAGUAUUUGCAAUGAAUUGGAUGCAGAAAAUGUAGAACAAAACAGAUAAAGGAAAAUCUAGAUGAAGUUGGGAACACCAUGCAAAGGACAAAUAAAAAAACUCAGAAAAACACUAGAGAACUUCAUCUAGAAAUGGGCGGUGACAAAGUCACCUAUGUUAGAGUAUAUUGACUGGGGGGUCAAGUGAAAACACUUGAUCGUAGCUCAUACUCAUCGUUUAAGCUCAAAAUGGGGUUACCAUUUUUCAUUUAAGCAUUUGAUGUAUUCACAUCUUGUUGAGCUGCUUUGACCCAUAUCUUGGGGUAAAGCUUCUCUAAGAUGGAAUGGCAUACCUUGGGUGGUGGUGUUGAUCUUAGUCAUGUAUUUGAACUUGUGUGGGUUGCUCAAGGUUGGUGUAGCUCAUCAAGAGUUGGGAGCACCACUUGGAAGUGAGUUCAUCUACCUACAUGGGUUAGUUUUGCAAGGAAGAGCACUUGUGUGUCCAAAAUGACAAUCAUGAAAUUUGAUACCAAAUGAAAUUUGAUAUAUAGAAUUUGUCAAAGGAUAUGUUGAAGGGUUUCAUGCUUCCUUGUCUUCAACCACCAUUGUAUAGAGACUUGGUGAUGUAGAGAUUUCUCAAGAUCUGAGUGAGUUGCAAUCUCAUAGAUUCAGAUUCAUCCAAGUAUCUACAAGGGUUAGAUAGCAUGCAAGGGUACAAAUAUAUCCAAAUGAUUAUCAUCAUAAGAGAACAGUCAAGGGUUAGUCAUAGUCUCAUGCCUUGCAUGUAUCCAAAUGGAGUUCAUACUCCAAGUUUGAAGCAUCAAUGAUGUCCAAUUCACCUCUCAAACGGCAAAAGACUUUUUCAUCAAGCGGUUUGGUGAAUAUAUCCGACAAUUGCUUAUCGGUACAAACAUGUUUAAGAUCAAUGUCCCCUUUAGCAACAUGAUCUCGAAUGAAAUGAUGACGAACUUCAAUAUGCUUAGUUCGGGAAUGUUGCACGGGAUUGUGAGCAAUAUUAAUAGCACUCUCAUUGUCACAAAGCAAUGGAACAUGUUUCACAUUGAUCCCAUAAUCUUUAAGAGUUUGGGUCAUCCAAAGUAAUUGAGCACAACAUGAACUGGCGGCAAUGUAUUCCGCUUUGGCGGUGGAUAAGGAUACCGAGUUUUUUUUAUUGGAGGACCAAGACACAAGAGAUCUACCAAGAAAUUGACAAGUACCGGAAGUGGACUUUCUAUCAACCUUGUCUCCGGCAUAGCCCGAGUCGGAAUAGCCAACAAGAUCAAAAGAGGACCUCUUAGGAUACCAAAUGCCAAAAUUUGUUGUAUGUAUUAAGUAUCUCACUAUCCUUUUCACAGCCUUAAGAUGACAUUCUUUGGGGGGCGCUUGAUAUCGUGCGCACAUGCACACACUUAGCAUAAUAUCAGGACGGGAGGCACAUAGAUGUAAUAAUGAACCCAUCAUAGAGCGAUAAACCUUUUGGUCAACCAGUUUUCCAUCCUUGGUUAAGUCAAGAUGUCCACUGGUAGGCAUGGGAGUUUUCAAACCUUUGCAUUCUUGCAUAUUGAACUUCUUGAAUAAUUCCUUGGUGUACUUUGUUUGAGAAACGAAGGUGCCUUCCUUAGUUGCUUGAUUUCCAAACCAAGAAAGAACUUGAGUUCACUCAUCAUAUACAUCUCAAACUUCUAUGACAUUAGCUUCCCAAACUUUUCACUAAAAUGAGGGUUAGUCGAACCAAAUAUUAUAUCAUCAACAUAAAUUUGGCACACAAAUAAUUCACUGUUAACCCUUUUAGUAAAAAGAGUAGAAUCUAUUUUUCCAAUCUCAAAGCCUUUUUCAACAAGGAACUUGGUCAAGCAUUUAUACCAUGCUCUAGGAGCUUGUUUAAGACCAAAGAGCUUUGUGAAGUUUGUAUACAUGAUCGGGUUUCUAAGGAUUGACAAAGCCGGGAGGUUGUUUAACAUAAACUUCCUCCUCAAUUUCACCAUUUAGAAAAGCACUUUUAAUGUCCAUUUGGUACAAGGUGAUAUCAUGGUGAUUAGCAUAGGCAAGUAAGAUGCGUAUGGACUCAAGUCUAGCAACGGGGGCAUAUGUCUCACCGUAGUCCAUACCUUCGACUUGAGUGUAGCCUUGGGCGACGAGACAUGCUUUGUUGCGAACGACUUGACCAUCUUCGUCUUGCUUGUUGCGAAACACCCAUUUGGUGCCAAUGAUGUUGUGGUUGUUGUCGGGCUUCUCGACCAAUGUCCACACUUGAUUUCUCUCGAAGUUGUGUAGCUCUUCAUGCAUGGCAUUUAUCCAAUCCGUAUCUUCCAAUGCUUCUUCAACCUUCAUAGGUUCAAUGCUAGAGAUGAAUGAAUAAUGUUCACAAAAGUUAUCCAAAUGAGUUUUAGAGCGAGUGAUUCUCCCGGUUUGAAUAUCAUUGAAAAUUUGUUUGGCGGGAUGGUCUCUUGAGACUCUUGCUCGAACUCGUGAAAGCUUUUGCUUGGGUCAGGGUGGAACAUCUUCUUCAUCGUCUUGUCCUUCUUCUUAGCCUUCUUCAUUAUUGGCGUUGUUGUUCUCUUGUCUUGCUGGAGAAGAAGGUUGAUGAGGUUCAUCUUGGUGUACUUCCUCGUUUUCUUCAUUUUGGUGCGUCCCACUUGUGGAUGCUUCCAUGUCAACUCUUGGUUCACCUUGUCGUGAGGUAGAAGCUUCCACUUGGACGAAUGAGGUACUCUCCUUCACCUCCAUUGGACGAAUCUUGCCAAUAGACAAGUCUUGGAUUGCUUCUGAAGGAUCCUUAUCUCCUACAUCAAUUGGCAAUUGCUCUACUUGCGAGCCGUUAGAUUCAUCAAACUUCACAUCUACCGUCUCUUCAACCUUUCGGGUGAAAUUUUUGUAGACACGGUAAGUGUGAGAGUUUGACCCAUAACCAAGUAGGAAACCUUCAUGAUAUUUAGGAGCAAAUUUAAAACGACGAUGCUUAUUAAGAAUGUAGCACUUUGAGCCAAAUACUCGAAAGUAUCCAACUUGGGGUUUGUUACCAGUGAGAAGCUCGUAUGCCAUCUUGCCGAGCAGCUUGUGAAGAUACAAGCGAUUUUUUGCAUGACAGGCUGUCUCAACCGCUUCCGCCCAAAAGUGUUUUGGUGUCUUGUACUCAUCAAGCAUCGUUCUCGCCAUCUCAAUAAGGGUUUGGUUCUUCCUCUCAACAACUCCAUUUUGUUGAGGCGUGUACAUAGCCGAGAACUCAUGUGAAAUCCCUUCUUCAUCAAGAAAGGUAUCCACAUUUGUGUUCUUGAACUCCGUUCCGUUGUCGCUGUUAACCUUCUUGAUCUUCACAUCAAAUUGAUUUUGGGCCUUCCUAGCGAAGUUCUUGAAGAUCUUUUGGACCUGGGAUUUAUCAUCAAGAAAGAACAGCCACGUAAAUCUUGAAAAAUCAUCAACUAUAACUAGACCAAAUGAGUUACCACCGAGACUCUUGUAGGCAUUGGGACCAAAGAGAUCCAUAUGAUGUAGCUCGAGCGGUCUUCUCGUGGUCAUAAUGUUCUUCACGGGGUGACUUCCUCCAACUUGUUUUCCUACUUGACAAGCACUACAAAGUCUAUCCUUGUCAAAUAUAACAUCUUUUACUCCAAGGAUAUGAUCACCUUUAAUGAGCUUAUCAAGAUUUCGCAUGCCCACAUGGCCUAACCUUCUAUGCCACAACCAACCUUUCGAGGAUUUAGCAAUUAGGAAAGUUCUAGGUUGAGCCUUUCUAGUGAAAUCAACAAUACAUAGAUCACCUCUACGUGUAUUGGUAAAGACCAUUUUAUGAUUAUCUCUACGAAACACUUGGCAAUCUACUUUAGUAAAUAGGACACUGAAACCAAAGUCAGUAAGUCUAGAUACGGAAAGCAAAUUGUAACCAAGAGAUUCAACGAGCAUAACAUUUUGUAUAGAGCUAUCGUGUGAGAUGGCCACCUUACCAAGGCCAACCACCUUACCCUUUGAGUUAUCACCAAAGGUGACAUACUUUCGAGGGUCGUUGUUUUCAGCAAGCUCAUGAAACAUAUCUUUGUCUCCGGUCAUAUGAUCGGUACACCCACUAUUAAGAACCCAUUCCUUUCCUCCAGCCAUGUAGCCGCAAAGAUUAGCCAUAAUACCAAAGUGUCUCAUUGCAUCAUCAAGAUCAUGGUCACUAUCAUCAUCCUCAUCAUAGUAUCCAUUGUCAUGUGGUGGAUCAAUUCCUAGAGAGAGUUAUUCAUUAGAACUAUGACCGUAACAAUGUUCAUCUCUACGAAUUCUAAUGACUUCGGAAAUGAUAUUGCUAAUGAUUCCAACAUCUCCUUUGGCACUCGUAAGAUUAGUAAGCUCAAAUAAACAAUCGCCAAAUUUGGGAUCAUUGGAACUCAUCUUACUCAAGGCAAUAGACUUAUCAAGAAUCUCAUCUAAGUUUUUCAAGGAAUAGUUUGGAAAUCGUUCCUCAAGAAAUCUCCAUAUGGUGUAGGCACAAUCAAGAGCAGGCAAGCUAGCAAGCAAGUUUCUAGGCAAACCUCUAGUGAUUAAAUUUAUUGUUCUAAGAUUACGGAUCAUGUCACUAGACUCAUCAAGGGUAGAAUGCAAAGGAUGAACAUGAGGUGCACAAGGGCUAGUAAUGUACUUGUUCAAAUGAUAUUCAUUGAAAAUCUCAAGCAUCUCAAUUUUCCACUCGUGAAAGUACUCUCCAUCAAGAAUAGGCACUCUAUGUCUAAGACUCCCGAACAUAGACUCAUCCAUCUUCCUCCAAUGGUAAUUAAACCAAAGCAAUGGAGACCAAUGCUCUGAUGCCAAUUGAAAGGGAUCGAGAAGAGGUGUCUAGAGGGGGGUGAAUAGACACUUAGCAAAGAAAAGUGGCAGUUUUUAAUUUCUUCAAGUUGAGGUGGAGUAUUAGCACAUGUUUAAACAUUCACAAUACAUAUCAAGCAAGCAUGACAAGAGUAUAUGGGCAGCGGAAAGUAAAGCAUGCAACUUUGCAAGAAUGUAAAGGGAUGGGAUUGGAGUUUGCAAAUGCAAUUGGAGACACUGAGAUUUUUGGCGUGGUUCCGAUAGGUGGUGCUAUCGUACAUCCAUGUUGAUGGAGACUUCAACCCACGAAGGGUAACUGUUGCGCGAGUCCAUGGAGGGCACCACCCAUGAAGGGUCCACGAAGAAGCAACCUUAUAUAUCCCACCAUGGCCAUCGCCCACGAAGGACUUGCCUCACUAGGGUAGAUCUUCACGAAGUAGGUGAUCUCCUUGCCCGUACAAACUCCUUGGUUCAACUCCACAAUCUUGACGGAGUCUCCCAAGUGACACCUAACCAAUCUAGCCCUAGAGGCAAUAAUAAAGUUGUUGUUUAUAUUUCCUUAUAUCAUGGUAAAUCUUUAUUAUUCAUGCUAGAAUUGUAUUAACUGAAAACUUAGUGCAUGUGUGAAUACAUAAACAAACAUAGUGUCACUAGUUUGCCUCUACUUGACUAGCUCGUUGAAUCAAUGAUGGUUAUGUUUCCUAACCAUAGACAUGAGUUGUCAUUUGAUUAACGGGAUCACAUCAUUAGAGAAUGAUGUGAUUGACUUGACCCAUCUGUUAGCUUAGCACGAUGAUCGUUUAGUUUGUUGCUAUUGCUUUCUUCAUGACUUAUACACGUUCCUAUGACUAUGAUAUUAUGCAACUCCCGAGUACCGGAGGAACACUUUGUGUGCUACCAAAUGUAACAACGUAAUUGGGUGAUUAUAAAGGUGCUCUACAGGUGUCUCCGAUGGUACUUGUUUCUACGAUCUGAUCGCAGAGGCGAAUAUUUGAGUUGUGAGUUUGGUCUUCAUUUGAAACAAUGUGUAAUAGUUUCGCAACUCACGCCACCCGGAACACCACAGCGUAAUGGUGUGUCCGAACGUCGUAAUCAUACUGUACUAGAUAUGGUGUGAUCUAUGAUGUCUCUUACUGAUUUACCGCUAUCUUUUGCGGUUAUGCUUUAGAUACGGCUGCAUUCACGUUAAAUAGGGCAUCAUCUAAAUCCGUUGAGACAACGCCUUAUGAACUGUGGUUUGGCAAGAAACCAAAGUUGUCGUUUCUUAAAUUUUGGGGCUGCGAUGCUUAUGUGAAAAAGCUUCAACCUGAUAAGCUCGAACACAAAUCGGAGAAAUGUGUCUUCAUAGGAUACCCAAAGGAGACUAUUGGGUACACCUUCUAUCACAGAUCCGAAGGCAAGACAUUCGUUGCUAAGAAUGGAUCCUUUCUAGAGAAGGAGUUUCUCUCGAAAGAAGUGAGUGGGAGGAAAGUAGAACUUGAUGAGGUAACUGUACCUAAUCCCCUAUUGGAAAGUAGUUCAUCACAGAAAUCUGUUCCUGUGACUCCUACACCAAUUAGUGAGGAAGCUAAUGAUGAAGAUCAUGUAACUUCAGAUCAAGUUACUACCAAACCUUGUAGGUCAACCAGAGUAAGACCCGCACUAGAGUGGCAUGGUAAUCCUGUUCUGGAAGUCAUGUUACUUGACCAUGACGAACCUACGAACUAUGAGGAAGCGAUGAUGAGCCCAGAUUCAGCAAAAUGGCUUGAGGCCAUGAAAUCUGAGAUGGGAUCCAUGUAUGAGAACAAAGUGUGGACUUUGGUUGACUUGCCCGAUGAUCGGCAAGCCAUCGAGAAUAAAUGGAUCUUCAAGAAGAAGACCGACGCUGGCGGUAAUGUUACUGUCUACAAAGCUCGACUUGUUGCGAAAGGUUUCCGACAAGUUCAAGGAGUUGACUACAAUGAGACCUUCUCACCCAUAGCGAUGCUUAAGUCCGUCUGAAUCAUGUUAGCAAUUGCCACAUUUUAUGAUUAUGAAAUUUGGCAAAUGGAUUUAAAGACUGCAUUCCUGAAUGGAUUUCUGGAAGAAGAGUUGUAUAUGAUGCAACCUGAAGGUUUUAUCGAUCCAAAGGGUGCUAACAAAGUGUGCAAACUCCAGCGAUCCAUCUAUGGACUGGUGCAAACAUCUCGGAGUUGGAUAAACGUUUUGAUAGUGUGAUCAAAGCAUAUGGUUUUAUACAGACUUUUGGAGAAGCCUGUAUUUACAAGAAAGUGAGUGGGAGCUCUGUAGCAUUUCUAAUAUUAUAUGUGGAUGACAUAUUGUUGAUUGGAAAUGACAUGGAAUUUCUGGAUAGCAUAAAAGGAUACUUGAAUAAGAGUUUUUCAAUGAAAGACCUCGGUGAAGCUGCUUAUAUAUUGGGCAUCAAGAUCUAUAGAGAUAGAUCAAGACGCCUAAUUGGACUUUCACAAAGCACAUACCUUGAUAAAGUUUUGAAGAAGUUCAAAAUGGAUCAAGCAAAGAAGGGGUUCUUGCCUAUGUUACAAGGUGUGAAAUUGAGUCAGACUCAAUGCCCGACCACUCUAGAAGAUAGAGAGAAAAUGAAAGGGUAGAUCUUCACGAAGUAGGCGAUCUCCUUCCCCGUACAAACUCCUUGGUUCAACUCCACAAUCUUGAUGGAGGCUCCCAAGUGACACCUAACCAAUCUAGGUGAAGGAAAUAUGCCCUAGAGGCAAUAAUAAAUUUGUUAUUUAUAUUUCCUUAUAUCAUGAUAAAUGUUUAUUAUUCAUGCUAGAAUUGUAUUAAUCGGAAACUUAGUGCAUGUGUGAAUACAUAAACAAACAGAGUGUCACUAGUUUGCCUCUACUUGACUAGCUCGUUGAAUCAAUGAUGGUUAUGUUUCCUAACCAUAAACAUGAGUUGUCAUUUGAUUAACGGGAUCACAUCAUUAGAGAAUGAUGUGAUUGACUUGACCCAUCUGUUAGCUUAGCACGAUGAUCGUUUAGUUUGUUGCUAUUGCUUCCUUCAUGACUUAUACAUGUUCCUAUGCCUAUGAGAUUAUGCAACUCCCGAGUACCGGAGGAACACUUUGUGUGCUACCAAACAUCACAACGUAACUGGGUAUAAAGGUGCUUUACAAGUGUCUCCGAUGGUACUUGUUGAGUUGGCAUAGAUCGAUAUUAGGAUUUGUCACUCCGAUUGUCGAAGAGGUAUCUCUGGGACCUCUCGGUAAUGCACAUCAUAAUAAGCCUUGCAAGCAAUGUAGCUAAUGAGUUAGUUACGAGAUGUAGCAUUAUGGAACGAGUAAAGAGACUUGCCGGUAACGAGAUUGAACUAGGUAUUGAGAUACCGACGAUCGAAUCUCGGACAAGUAACAUACCGAUGACAAAGGGAACAACGUAUAUUGUUAUGCGAUUUGACCGAUAAAGAUCUUCAUAGAAUAUGUAGGAACCAAUAUGAGCAUCUAGGUUCCGCUAUUGGUUAUUGACCGGAAAUGAGUCUCAGUCAUGUCUACAUAGUUCUCGAACCCGUAGGGUCCGCACGCUUAAAGUUCGGUGACGAUUGGUAAUAUGAGUUUAUGUGUUUUGAUAUACCGAAGGUAGUUCGGAGUCCCGGAUAUGAUCACCAACAUGACGAGGAGUCUCGAAAUGGUCGAGACAUAAAGAUUGAUAUAUUGGAAGCCUACAUUUGGACAUCGGAAUAGUUCCGGGUGAAAUCGGGAUUUUACCGGAGUGCCGGGGGGUUACUGGACCCCCCGGGGGGUUAAUGGGCCUUGUUGGGCCCUAGUGUAGAGAGAGAGAGGGGCCGGCCAGGGUAGGCCACGCGCCCCCUCCCCUUGAGUCCAAAUAGGACAAGGAAUGGGGGCGGCGCCCCCCUUGCCUUUCCCCUCUCCCACUCCUUCCUUCCCCCUUCUAGUGGGACUAGGAAAGGGGAGUCCUACUCCCAUUAGGAGGAGGACUCCUCCUCUUGGCGCGCCCUGCUAGGGCCGGCCGGCCUCCCCCCUUGCUCCUUUAUAUACAAGGGCAGGGGGCACCCCAAGACACACAAGUUGAUCAGUUGAUCUUUUAGCCGUGUGCGGUGCCCCCCUCCACCAUAAUCCACCUCGGUCAUAUCGUAGUGGUGCUUAGGCGAAGCCCUGCGUCGGUAGCAUUAUCAUCACUGUCAUCACAUCGCCGUGCUGACGGAACUCUCCCUCGAAGCUCUGCUGGAUCGGAGUUCGUGGGACGUCACCGAGCUGAACGUGUGCUGAACUCGGAGGUGCCGUACGUUCGGUACUUGGAUCGGUCGAAUCGUGAAGAUGUAUGACUACAUCAACCGCGUUCUCAUAACGCUUCUGCUUACGGUCUACGAGGGUACGUGGACAACACUCUCCCCUCUCGUUGUUAUGCAUCACCAUGAUCUUGCGUGUGCGUAGGAUUUUUUUUAAAUUACUAUGUUCCCCAACACUAGGAGACACCACACUCCAAAAGGUAAUAGACGGUGUGUUGAUGAUGAACUCCUUGCUCUUGUGCUUCAAAUGAUAGUCUCCCCAACACUCAACUCUCUCUCAUAGGAUUGGAUUUGGUAGAAAGAUGAUUUCAGUGGAAAGCAACUUGGGAAGGGCUAGAGAUCAAGAUUUAUGUGUUUGGAAUGGAAUAUCUUGACCUCAACACAAGUUUAGGUGGUUCUCUCUCAGAAAAUGUAUGAUGGAAGUGUAGGCAUGUUCUGGUGGCUCUCUUUUUGAAUGAAGAGUGAGUGGAGGGGUAUAUAUAGCCUCCACACAAAAUAUAACCGUUACACACACAAUUUUCCAAACUCGGUCAAACCGAUUUAGUUCAUAAUGUGACCGUUAGGAGUUUCGGUGGGACCGAUAUGAUCAACUCGGUAGGACCGAUGUGCUAGGGUUAGUGUAAAGCCUCAUCUUGGUUUGACCGAUUACACAAACUCGGUGGGACUGAUUUGGGUAGUAAGUGAAAUAGAGAGUUGGCCAAGCAAACUCGGUGAGACUGAUUGCAUAUUUUGGUGGGACCGAAAUUAUUGUAAUAGGCAACAGAGAGUUUGUAAGCCCAUCUCAGUGAGACCGAGAUCCCAUCGGUGAAACCGAAUUAGUUAGGGUUUCUGGCGGUGGCUAUGUCAACAUAACUCGGUGGCGCCAGAUAGAAAGAUUCGGUAGGGCCGAGUUUGUCUUUUGGUUUGGGACAAAUGUGGAUGUGAGAAAGUGGUUGAGGGCUUUGGAGCAUAUCACUAAGCACUUUGAUCAAUCAAGCCAUUAAGCAACACCUCAUCCCCUUUUCAUAGUAUUGGCUUUCCUAUGGACUCAAUGUGAUCUUGGAUCACUAAAAUAGAAAAUGUAGAGUCUAGAGCUUUGAGCUUGAGCCAAUCCUUUGUCCUCAUCAUCUUGAAGGGGUUCCACAUCCUCUAGUCCAUGCCACUCCAUUAUUGAACUUAUCUGAAACAUACUAGAUGAAAACAUUAGUCCAACAAGAGAUAUGUUGUCAUUAAUUACCAACAUCACCCAGGGAGCACUUGUAAUUUCAAGGUAGCAAGAAGGAUUUCUGGCAUCGUUGCCGAGGAGAUCUACGCACAAGUCAAGACAUACCAACUACCCAUCACAAAAUCUUGUCCCUCGCAUUACAUUAUUUGCCAUUUGCCUCUCGUUUUCCUCUCCCCCACUUCUAAAUGAUUUUCGAAAACAUUUACCUUUUCUUUGCCUUCUUCCCGUAUGUAUCUUUGUUUUUGUUUCCAUGUGCCUUCCAUUUGCUUGCAUCUUUGCUUGCUAGAAAUCUAUUGAUAUGGAUCCACUUAAAGUGUUCUACUUUGAUCAUCUUCGAUCCCUAUGCGCUCGUGCUGAAACCCCAACUAGCUUGGUUGAUGGGAAAUCUUUAGAUGAGCAUGCUCAUUUUGUGCGUCACCGUUUGUCUGAAAAAGGUAGAUUCUUAUGGGAUCAGAUAAACAGAUUGCUGUGUUAUGCUUGGAAUCUUUGUGAAAUUUAUGAAUUUUCUUGUUGCUCUAAGAACCCUAAAAAACACCUCCCCUACCUAUGUGAGUUUAAUGACAAUGAAAUCUUAUCUUCUUAUGCAAAGGGUGUUUAUAGUUACUAAGAUAUCGAACAAAUUGAAGAAUUUGUUGCUCUUAAGGGUGCUUAUGAAGUUGCUUCUUUGAUUGGAAAGUAUGAUAUUACUCUCUACGAAUCCGAAAAUUUUGACAUACUUAAAUAUGGCUAUGAAAACUAUGCUCAUAAUGUCUAUGUCAAAGAGUUGAUUGAAAGAAUGACCGUUGCUUUGGAAGAAAAUAAUGAUAUGCAUGAAUCUAUAGAUAAUUAUGAUUCUGAUGAUUUGAUUGAAAUAUCCCUUGAUGAACAUGAUGCUUGCUAUUCUUGUGGCCAUGAUGCCAAUAUUUAUGAAGAUGAAUUUGCUGUAGUUCCAUAUGUUAAACACGAGAUCGUUGCUAUUGCACCCAUACUUGAUAGUUCCUUCGAUGAAAAGCAUGAUUGCAAUGAUGUUACUAUAAACUCUCUUAAUGUCAAUUGUGCUAAUAAUAUGCAAAACCCUAAGCUUGGGGAUGCUAGUUUUGCUAUGUCUGCUACUUGUUGCAAUGAUCAUGAUUGGGGUGAUUCUUCUUAUGAUCUUGAAAAUUUAUUUAAGCCCCAUGAUGAAUAUGAGAUUGAUAAUAGUGUUUGCAAUAAUAUUGAAAGUGGGUUUGGAAGAGUGUCAACUUUAGAUCCCACAUAUUUGGAGAAUGUUCAAUCUUAUGGUAUUUUUGAUAAAAGUGGGUUUGGAGAGGUCAUGACUUUAGUUAAUGUUAAUCCCACUAUUUUGGAAGAGUGUCAACUUUGCAUGCAUGUGGAUCGUGUUUAAAAUAUUUUAUGUGAUAGCUAUUUUGUUGAAUUUUCUUAUGAUCCCACAUAUAAUUAUUAUGAGAGAGAAAAAUAUGGUUGUAGAAAUUUUCAUGUUACUAAAUUACCUCUCAUUAUGUUGAGAUUGCUAUUGUUUCUUUCUGCUUCCUUGCAUAUGCUAGUUUUUGCUUGCUAUGAUAAUUUGUUUGCCUAUAAGAUGCCUAUGCAUAGGAAGUAUGUUAGACUUAGAUGUGCUUGUCACGUGUUUCAUGAUGCUCUCUUUGUCCUUCAAUUCUUGUCUUUCAUGUGAGCAUUAUUGAAAUUAUCAAUGCCUAGCUAGGGGCGUUAAACGAUAGCGCUUGUUGGGAGGCAACCCAAUUUUAUUUUUGUUUCUUGCUUUUUGGUUCUGUUAAGUAAUAAAUAAUUCAUCUAGCCUCUGUUUAGAUGUGGUUUUAUGCUUUUAAUUAGUGUUUGUGCCAAGUAGAACCUUUGGGAAGACUUGGGGAAAGUUUUGCGAUCUUGCUGUAAAAAGCAGAAACUUUAGCACUCACGAGAUUUGCUGCCACUUUUUACUGAAGAGUGCGAUUAGGUUGAUUCUUUUUGCAGAUGAUUAAUAGAAAAAUUCCUCACUUCCACAAAUUUAUUUCAGAAUUUUUGGGGUUACAUAAGUAUUAGAAACCUUCAGAUUACUACAGACUGUUCUGUUUUUGACAGAUUCUGUUUUUCGUGUGUUGUUUGCUUAUUUUGAUGAAUCUAUGGCUAGUAUCGGAGGGUAUGAACCAUAGAGAAGUUGGAAUACAGUAGGUUUAACACCAAUAUAAAUAAAGAAUGAGUUCAUUACAGUACCUUAAGCGGUGGUUUGUUUUCUUAUACUAAUGGAGCUCAUGAGAUUUUCUGUUGAGUUUUGUGUUGUGAAGUUUUCAAGUUUUGGGUAAAGAUUUGAUGGAUUACGGAAUAAGGAGUGGAAAGAGCCUAAGCUUGGGUAUUCCCAAGGCACCCCAAGUUAAAAUUCAAGGACAACCAAAAUCCUAAGCUUGGGGAUGCCCCGGAAGGCAUACCCUCUUUCGUCUUCGUCCAUCGGUAACUUUACUUGAGGCUAUAUUUUUAUUCACCACAUGAUAUGUGUUUUGCUUGGAGCGUCUUGUAUGAUUUGAGUAUUUGAUUUUUAGUUUACCACAAUCAUGCUUGAUGUACACACCUUUUGGGAGAGACACACAUGAAUCGGAAUUUAUUAGAAUACUCUAUGUGCUUCACUUAUAUCUUUUGAGCUAGAUAAUUUUGCUCUAGUGCUUCACUUAUAUCUUUUAGAGCACGGUGGUGGUUUUAUUUUAUAGAAAUUAUUGAUCUCUCAUGCUUCACUUAUAUUAUUUUGAGAGUCCUUUAGAACAUCAUGGUAAUUUGCUUUGGCUAUAAAAUUGGUCCUAAUAUGAUAGGCAUCCAAGAUUGGUAUAAUAAAAGUGUUCAUAAAAAGGUGCAUUGAAUACUAUGAGAAGUUUGAUACUUGAUAAUUGUUUUGAGAUAUAAAGAUGGUGAUAUUUGAGUUGUGCUAGUUGAGUAGUUGUGAAUUUGAGAAAUACUUGUGUUGAAGAUUGCAAGUCCCGUAGCAUGCACGUAUGGUAACCGUUGUGUAACAAAUUUGAAACAUGAGGUGUUCUUUGAUUGCCUUCCUUAUGAGUGGCGGUCGGGGACGAGCGAUGGUCUUUUCCUACCAAUCUAUCCCCCUAGGAGCAUGCGCGUAAUGCUUGGUUUUUGAGGACUUGUAGAUUUUUGCAAUAAGUAUGUGAGUUCUUUAUGACUAAUGUUGAGUCCAUGGAUUGUACGCACCCUCACCUUUCCAUCAUUGCUAGCCUCUUCGGUACCGUGCAUUGCCCUUUCUCACCUUGAGAGUUGGUGCAAACAUCGCCGGUGCAUCCAAACCCCAUGAUAUGAUACACUCUAUCACACAUAAACCUCCUUAUAUCUUCCUCAAAACAGCCACUAUACCUACCUUUUAUGGCAUUUCCAUAGCCAUUCCGAGAUAUAUUGCCAUGCAAAUUUCCACCAUUUCAUUUAUGACACGCUUCAUCAUUGUCAUAUUGCCUUGCAUGUUCAUGUAGUUGACAUCGUAUUUGUGGUAAAGCUACCAUGCAUAAUUUAUCAUACAUGUCACUCUUGAUUCAUUGCCCUUCCCGGUACACUGCCGAAGGCAUUCAUAUAGAGUCAUAUUUUGUUCUAGUAUCGAGUUGUAAUCAUUGAGUUGUAAAUAAAUAGAAGUGUGAUGAUCAUAAUUAGUCGAGCAUUGUCCCAAAUAAAGAAAGGUGAAGGCCAAAAAAGAAAGGCCCCAAAAAAAGAUAAAUAAAAAGGAACAAUGCUACUAUCCUUUUUUUCCACACUUGUGCUUCAAAGUAGCACCAUGAUCUUUAUGAUAGAGAGUCUCUUGUUUUGUCACUUUCAUAUACUAGUGGGAAUUUUUCAUUAUAGAACUUGACUUGUAUAUUCUAACAAUGGGCUUCCUCAAAUGCCCUAGGUCUUCGUGAGCAAGCAAGUUGGAUGCACACCCACUUAGUUUCUUUUGUUGAGCUUUCAUACAUUUAUAGCUCUAGUGCAUCCGUUGCAUGGGAAUCCUACUCCUUGCAUUGACAUCAAUUGAUAGGCAUCUCCCUAGCAUGUUUAUUAGCCACGUCGAUGUGAGACUUUCUCCUUUUUUGUAUUCUCCACAUAACCCCCAUCAUUAUAUUCUAUUCCACCCAUAGUGCUAUAUCCAUGGCUCACGCUCAUGUAUUGCGUGAAAAUUGAAAAAAGUUUGCGAUUACUAAAGUAUGAAACAAUUGCUUGGCUUGUCAUUGGGGUUGUGCAUGAUGAGAGCAUUCUUGUGUGAAGAAAAUGGAGCAUGACCAAACUAUAUGAUUUUGUAGGGAUGAACUUUCUUUGGCCAUGUUAUUUUGAGAAGACAUGGUUGCUUAGUUAGUAUGCUUGAAGUAUUAUUAUUUUUAUGUCAAUAUUAAACUUUUGUCUUGAAUCUCUCGGAUCUGAAUAUUCAUGCCGCAAUAAAGAAAAUUACAUUGAGAAUUAUGCUAGGUAGCAUUCCACAUCAAAAAUUCUGUUUUUAUCAUUUACCUACUUGAGGAUGAGCAGGAAUUAAGCUUGGGGAUGCUUGAUACGUCCCCAACGUAUCUAUAAUUUUUGAUUGUUACAUGCUAUUAUAUUAUCUCUUUUGGAUGUUUAAUGGGCUUUAUGAUACACUUUUAUAUUAUUUUGGGGACUAACCUACUAACCCAAGGCCCAAUGCAAAUUGAUGUUUUUUUGCCUAUUUCAGUGUUCCGCAGAAAAGGAAUAUCAAACGGAAUCCAAACGGAAUGAAACCUUCAGGAGAGUUAUUUUUGGAACAGGCAUGAUCCAGGAGACUUGGAGUAGACGUCAAGAAAGGAGCGAGGAGGCCACAAGGCAGGGAGGCGCGCCUGCCCCUUGGGCGCGCCCCCACCCUCAUGGGCCCCUCGCAGCUCCACCGACCUACUUCUUCCUCCUAUAUAUAUAUAUAUAUAUAUAUACCCCAAAAAAAUCCAGGAGCACCACGAACCCCUAUUUCCACCGCCGCAACCUUUUGUACCCGUGAGAUCCCAUCUUGGGGCCCUUUCUUGGAGAUCUAUUCGAUGUAAUUCUUUUUGCGGUGUGUUUGUCAAGAUCUGAUGAAUUGUGGGUUUAUGAUCAAGAUUAUCUAAGAACAAUAUUUGAUUCUUCUCUAAAAUCUUUUAUGUAUGAUUUGUUAUCUUUGCAAGUCUCUUUGAAUUAUCAGUUUGGUUUGUCCUACUAGAUUGAUCUUUCUUGCAAUGGGAGAAGUGCUUAGCUUUGGGUUCAAUCUUGCGGUGUCCUUUCCCAGUGACAGCAGGGGCGGCAAGGCACGUAUUGUAUUGUUGCCAUCGAGGAUAAAAAGAUGGGGUUUAUAUCAUAUUGCUUGAGUUUAUCCCUCUACAUCAUGUCAUCUUGCCUAAUGCGUUACUUUGUUCUUAUGAACUUAAUACUCUAGAUGCAUGCUGGAUAGCGGUCGAUGUGUGGAGUAAUAGUAGUAGAUGCAGAAUCGUUUCGGUCUACUUGUCGCGGACGUGAGGCCUAUAUACAUGAUCAUGCCUAGAUAUUCUCAUAAUUAUGCACUUUUCUAUCAAUUGCUCGACAGUAAUUUGUUUAUCCACCAUAAUACUUAUGAUAUCUUGAGAGAAGCCACUAGUGAAACCUAUGGCCCCCGAGUCUAUCUUCCAUCAUAUAAGUUUCCAAUCUAUUUUAUUUUGCAAUCUUUAUUUUCCUAUCUAUAUAAUAAAAAUACGAAAAAUAUUUAUCUUAUUAUCUCUAUCAGAUCUCACUCUCGUAAGUGACCGUGAAGGGAUUGACAACCCCUUUAUCGCGUUGGUUGCGAGGUUCUUAUUUGUUUGUGUAGGUGCGAGGUGACUUGCGUGUAGUCUCCUACUGGAUUGAUACCUUGGUUCUCAAAAACUGAGGGAAAUACUUAUGCUACUUUGUUGCAUCACCCUUUCCUCUUCAAGGGAAAACCAACGCAGUGCUGAAGAGGUAGCAGGAUGUCUAUAUAAGUGGGAGUUCUUAAGUAAUAUGAUUAAUUGAACUUCAAUUUAUCAUGAACUUAGUCCUGAUAGUUUUUGCAUAUCUAUGUUGUUGUAGAUUAAUGGCCCGUGCUACCGUUCCCUUGAAUUUUAAUGCGUUCCUAGAGAAAGCUAAGUUGAAAGAUGAUGGUAGCAACUGCACAGUCUGGGUCCGUAACUUGAGGAUUAUACUCAUUGUUGCACAGAAGAAUUACGUCCUGGAAGCACCGCUAGGUGCAAGACCCGCUAUAGGAGCAACUCCGAAUGUUAUGAACAUCUGGCAGAGCAAAGCUGAUGACUACUCGAUAGUUCAGUGUGCCAUGCUUUACGACUUAGAAUUGGGACUUCAAAGACGUUUUGAAUGUCAUGGAGCAUAUGGGAUGUUCUAGGAGUUGAAGUUAAUAUUUCAAGCAAAUGCCCGAGUUGAGAGAUAUGAAGUCUGCAACAAGUUCUAUUGCUUCAAGAUGGAGGAGAAUAGUUCUGUCAGUGAACACAUACUCAGAAUGUCUGGGUACCAUAACCACUUGACUCAGCUGGGAGUUAAUCUUCCUGUUGAUAGUGUCAUUGAUAGAGUUCUUCAAUCCCUGCCACUAAGCUAUAAAGGCUUCAUGAUGAACUAUAAUAUGCAAGGGAUGGAAAAGACAAUUCCCGAGCUCUUCACGAUGCUAAAGGCUGCGGAGGUAGAAAUCAAGAAGGAGCAUCAAGUGUUGAUGGUUAACAAGACCACUAGUUUCAAGAAAAAGGGCAAAGGGGAGAAGGGGAACGUCAAUAAGAACAGCAAGCAAGUUGCUGCUCAAGGGAAGAAGCCCAAGACUGGACCUAAGCCUGACACCGAGUGCUUUACUGCAAAGGGACUGGUCACUGGAAGCGGAACUGCCCCAAGUAUUUGGCGGAUAAGAAGGAUGGCAAAGUGAAAGGUAUAUUUGAUAUACAUGUUAUUGAUGUGUACCUUACUAAUGCUCGUAGUAGCGCCUGGGUAUUUGAUACUGAUUUUGUUGCUCAUAUUUGCAACUCGAAAUAGGGGCUACAGAUUAAAUGAAGAUUGGCUAAGGACGAGGUGACGAUGCGCGUCGGAAAUGGUUCCAAGGUCGAUGUGAUCGUCGGCGGCACGCUACCUCUACAUCUACCUUCAGGAUUAGUUUUAGACCUAAAUAAUUGUUAUUUCGUGCCAGCGUUGAGCAUGAACAUUAUAUCUGGAUCUUGUUUGAUGCGAGACAGGUAUUCACUUAAAUCAGAGAAUAAUGGUUGUUCUAUUUAUAUGAGUAAUAUCUUUUAUGGUCAUGCACCCUUGAUGAGUGGUCUAUUUUUGUUGAAUCUCGAUCGUAGUGAUACACAUAUUCAUAAUAUUGAAGCCAAAAGAUGCAAAGUUAAUAAUGAUAGUGCAACUUAUUUGUGGCACUGCCAUUUAGGUCAUAUAGGUGUAAAGCGCAUGAAGAAACUCCAUGAUGAUGGGCUUUUGGAAUUACUUGAUUCUUGCAUGGGCAAGAUGACUAAGACUCCGUUCUCCGGAACAAUGGAGAGAGCCACAGACUUAUUGGAAAUAAUACAUUCUGAUGUAUGCGGUCCGAUGAGUGUUGAGGCUCGCGGCGAGUAUCAUUAUUUUCUGACCUUCACGGAUGAUUUGAGCAUAUAUGGGUAUAUCUACUUGAUGAAACAUAAGUCUGAAACAUUUGAAAAGUUCAAAGAAUUUUAGAGUGAAGUGGAAAAUCAUCGUAACAAGAAAAUAAAGUUUCUACGAUCUGAUCGCGGAGGCGAAUAUUUGAGUUACGAGUUUGGUCUUCAUUUGGAACAAUGUGGAAUAGUUUCGCAACUCACGCCACCUGGAACACCACAACGUAAUGGUGUUUCUGAACAUCAUAACCGUACUUUAUUAGAUAUGGUGUGAUCUAUGAUGUCUCUUACUAAUUUACCGCUAUUGUUUUGGGGUUAUGCUUUAGAGACGGCUGCAUUCAUGUUAUAUAAGGCACCAUCUAAAUCCGUUGAGACGACACUAUAUGAAUUAUGGUUUAGCAAGAAACCUAAGCUAUCGUUUCUUAAAGUUUGGGGCUGCGAUGCUUAUGUGAAAAAGCUUCAACCUGAUAAGCUCCAACCCAAAUCGGAGAAAUGUGUCUUCAUAGGAUACCCAAAGGAAACUGUUGGGUACACCUUCUAUCACAGAUCCGAAGGCAAGAUAUUCGUUGCUAAGAAGGGAUCCUUUCUAGAGAAGGAGUUUCUCUCGAAAGAAGUGAGUGGGAGGAAAGUAGAACUUAAUGAGGUAACUGUACCUUCUCCCGAAUUGGAAAGUAGCUCAUCACAGAAAUUAGUUCUAGUGAUUCCUACACCAAUUAGUGAGGAAGUUAAUGAUGAUGAUCAUGAAACUUCAGAUCAAGUUACUACCGAACCUCGUAGGUCAACCAGAGUAAGGUCCGCACCAGAGUGGUACGGUAAUCCUGUUCUGGAAGUCAUGUUACUAGACCAUGACGAACCUACGAACUAUGAGGAAGCGAUGAUGAGCCCAGAUUCCGUGAAAUGGCUUGAGGCCAUGAAAUCUGAGAUGGGAUCCAUGUAUGAGAACAAAGUAUGGACUUUGGUUGACCUGCCCGAUGAUUAGCAAGCCAUAGAGAAUAAAUGGAUCUUCAAGAAGAAGACUGACGCUGACGGUAAUGUUACUGUCUACAAAGCUCGACUUGUUGCGAAAGGUUUUCGACAAGUUCAAGGAGUUGACUACGAUGAGACCUUCUCACCCGUAGCGAUGCUUAAGUCUGUCCGAAUCAUGUUAGCAAUUGCCGCAUUUUAUGAUUAUGAAAUUUGGCAAAUGUAUGUCAAAACUACAUUCCUUAAUGGAUUUCUUAAAGAAGAGUUGUAUAUGAUGCAACCAGAAGGUUUUGUCGAUCCUAAAGGUGUUAUAAAAGUGUGCAAGCUCCAACGAUCCAUUUAUGGACUGGUGAAAGCCUCUCGGAGUUGGAAUAUAUGCUUUGAUAGUGUGAUCAAAGCAUAUGGUUUUAUACAGACUUUUGGAGAAGCAUGUAUUUACAAGAAAGUGAGUGGGAGCUCUGUAGAAUUUCUAAUAUUAUAUGUGGAUGCCAUAUUGUUGAUUGGAAAUAAUACAGAAUUUCUGGAUAGCAUAAAAGGAUACUUGAAUAAGAAUUUUUCAAUGAAAGACCUCGGCGAAGCUGCUUAUAUAUUGGGCAUCAAGAUCUAUAGAUAUAGAUCAAGACGCUUAAUUGGACAAAGCACAUACCUUGAUAAAGUUUUGAAGAAGUUCAAAAUGGACCAGUCAAAGAAAGGGUUCUUGCCCGUGUUACAAGGUGUGAAGUUGAGCCACACUCAAUGCCCGACCACUACAGAAGAUAGAGAGAAAAUGAAAGUCAUUACCUAUGCCUCAGCCAUAGGUUCUAUCAUGUAUGCAAUGAUGUGUACCAGACCUGAUGUGUGCCUUGCUAUAAGUUUAGCAGGGAGGUACCAAAGUACUCCAGGAGUGGAUCACUGGACAACGGUCAAGAACAUCCUGAAAUACCUGAAAAGGACUAAGGAUAUGUUUCUCGAUUAUGGAGGUGACAAAGAGCUUGUCGUAAAUGGUUACGUCGAUGCAAGCUUUGACACUGAUCCGGAUGACUCAAAGUCACAAACCGGAUACAUAUUUAUAUUGAAUGGUGGAGCUGUAAGCUGGUGCAGUUCCAAGAAGAGCGUCAUGGCGGGAUCUACGUGUGAAGUGGGGUACAUAGCUGAUUCAGAAGCAACAAAUGAAGGAGUCAGGAUGAAGGAGUUCAUAUCCGAUCUAGGUGUAAUACCUAGUGCAUCGGUCUAAUGAAAAUCUUUUGUGACAAUACUGGAGCAAUUGCCUUGGUGAAGGAAUCCAAAUUUCACAAGAGAACCAAACACAUCAAGAGACGCUUCAACUCCAUCCGCGAUCAAGUCAAGGAGGGAGACAUAGAGAUUUGCAAGAUACAUACGGAUCUGAAUGUUGCAGACCCGUUGACUAAGCCUCUUCCACGAGCUAAACAUGAUCAGCACCAAGACUCCAUGGUGUUAGAAUCAUUACUAUGUAAUCUAGAUUAUUGACUCUAGUGCAAGUGGGAGACUGAAGGAAAAAUGCCCUAGAGGCAAUAAUAAGGUUGUUAUUUAUAUUUCCUUAUAUCAUGAUACAUGUUUAUUAUUCAUGCUAGAAUUGUAUUAACCAGAAACUUAGUACAUGUGUGAAUACAUAGACAAAAACAGAGUGUCCUUAGUAUGCCUCUACUUGACUAGCUCGUUAAUCAAAUAUGGUUGUGUUUCCUGACCAUAGACAUGUGUUGUCAUUUGACGAACGGGAUCACAUCAUUAGAUAAUGAUGUGAUGGACAAGACCCAUCUGUUAGCUUAGCAUUAUGAUCGUUUAGUUUUAUUGCUAUUGCUUUCUUCAUAACUUAUACAUAUUCCGCUGACUAUGAUAUUAUGAAACUCCUGAAUACCGGAGGAUCACCUUGUGUGCUAUCAAACGUCACAACGUAACUGGGUGAUUAUAAAGAUGCUCUACAAGUGUCUCCGAAGGUGUUUAUUGGGUUGGCAUAGAUCAAGAUUAGGAUUUGUCACUCCGAGUAUCGAAGAGGUAUCUCUGGGCCCUCUCGGUAAUGCACAUCACUAUAAGCCUUGCAAGCAAUGUGACUAAUGAGUUAGUUAUGGUAUGAUGCACUACGAAACGAGUAAAGAGACUUGCCGGUAACGAGAUUGAACUAGGUAUGAUGAUACCGAUGAUCGAAUCUCGGGCAAGUAACAUACCGAUGACAAAGGGAAUAACAUAUGUUGUUAUGCGGUUUGACCGAUAAAGAUCUUCAUAGAAUAUGUAGGAACCAAUAUGACCAUCCAGGUUCCGCUAUUGGUUAUUGACCAGAGAUGUGUCUCGGCCAUGUCUGCAUAGUUCUCGGACCCGUAGGGUCCGCACGCUUAACAUUCGAUGACGAUUUGUAUUAUGAGUUAUGUGUUUUGGUGACCAAAGUUUGUUCCGAGUCCCGGAUGAGAUCACGGACAUGACGAGGAGUCUCGAAAUGGUCGAGAGGUAAAGAUUCAUAUAUUGUAAGGUUGUAUACGAACACCGAAAUGGUUCUGAAGAAGUUUGAGAAUUUAUCGAAGUAUCGGGAGGCUAUCGGAACCCCCCAGGAAAGUUAAUGGGCCUCAUGGGCCAUAGUGGAGAGGAGGAGGUGUUGGGGAACGUAGCAAUUUCAAAAAAAUUCCUAUGCACACGCAAGAUCAUGGUGAUGCAUAGCAACGAGAGGGGAGAGUGUGAUCUAUGUACCCUUGUAGACCGACAGCGGAAGCGUUAGCACAACGCGGUUGAUGUAGUCGUACGUCUUCAUGGCCCGACCAAUCAAGCACCGAAACUACGACACCUCUGAGUUUUAGCACACGUUCAGCUCGAUGACGAUCCCCGGACUCCGAUCCAGCAAAGUGUUGGGGAAGAGUUCCGUCAGCACGACGGCGUGGUGACGAUCUUGAUGUACUAUUGUCACAGGGCUUCGCCUAAGCACGGCUACAAUAUUACCGAGGACUAUGGUGGCAGGGGGCGCCGCACACGGCUAAGAAUAUGAUCACGUGGAUCAACUUGUGUGUCUCUGGGGUGCCCCUGCCUCUGUAUAUAAAGGUUCAAGAGGGGGAGGCCGGCAGGCCACCAUAGGGCGCGCCAGGAGGAGUCCUACUCCCUCCGGGAGUAGGACUUCUCCCCCAAUCCUAGUUGGAAUAGGAUUCAUGAGGUGGAAAAAGAGAGAGAGAGAAGCAGGGGGGCGCCGGCCCCCUCUCUCCUUGUCCUAUUCGGACUAGGGGUGAGGGGCAUGCGGCCCAGCCUUGGCCGCCUCUCCUCUUCUUCCACUAAGGCCCACUAAGACCCAUAUAGUUCCCGGGGGGUUCCGGUAACCUCCCGGUACUCCGGUAAAAUCCCGAUUUCACCCGGAACACUUCCGAUAUCCAAACAUAGGCUUCCAAUAUAUCAAUCUUUAUGUCUCGACCAUUUCGAGACUCCUCGUCAUGUCCGUGAUCACAUCCGGGACUCCGAACAACCUUCGGUACAUCAAAACGUAUAAACUCAUAAUAUAACUGUCAUCGAAACCUUAAGCGUGCGGACCCUACGGGUUCGAGAAUAAUGUAGACAUGACCGAGACAUGUCUCCGGUCAAUAACCAAUAGCGGGACCUGGAUGCCCAUAUUGGCUCCUACAUAUUCUACGAAGAUCUUUAUCGGUCAGAUCACAUAACAACAUACGUUGUUCCCUUUGUCAUCGGUAUGUUACUUGCCCGUGAUUCGAUCGUCGGUAUCUAAUACCUAGUUCAAUCUCGUUAUCGGCAAGUCUCUUUACUCGUUCCGUAAUACAUCAUCUCGCAACUAACUCAUUAGUUGCAUUGCUUGCAAGGCUUAAGUGAUGUGCAUUACCGAGAGGGCCCAGAGAUACCUCUCCGACGAUCGGAGCGACAAAUCCUAAUCUCGAAAUACGUCAACCCAACAUGUACCUUUGGAGACACCUAUAGAGCACCUUUAUAAUCACCCAAUUACGUUGUGACGUUUGGUAGCACACAAAGUUUUCCUCCGGCACACGGGAGUUACAUAAUCUCAUAGUCAUAGGAACAUGUAUAAGUCAUGAAGAAAGCAAUAGCAACAUACUAAACGAUGGGGUGCUAAGCUAAUGGAAUGGGUCAUGUCAAUCAGAUCAUUCAACCAAUGAUGUGAUCCCGUUUAAUCAAAUGACAACUCUUUGUCUAUGGUCAGGAAACAUAACCAUCUUUGAUUAACGAGCUAGUCAAGUAGAGGCAUACUAGUGACACUCUGUUUGUCUAUGUAUUCACACAUGUAUUAUGUUUCCGGUUAAUACAAUUCUAGCAUGAAUAAUAAACUUUUAUCAUGAUAUAAGGAAAUAAAUAAUAACUUUAUUAUUGCCUCUAGGGCAUAUUUACUUUAGUCUCCCACUUGCACUAGAGUCAAUAAUCUAGAUUUACACAGUAAUGAUUCUAACACCAAUGGAGCUUUGGUGCUGAUCAUGUUUUGCCCGUGGAAGAGGCUUAGUCAACGGGUCUGCUACAUUCAGCUUCGUAUGUAUCUUGCAAAUCUCUAUGUCUCCCACCUGGACCAGAUCCCGGAUGGAAUUGAAGCGUCUCUUGAUGUGCUUGGUUCUCUUGUGAAAUCUGGAUUCCUUUGCCAAGGCAAUUGCACCAGUAUUGUCACAAAAGAUUUUCAUUGGACCUGAUGCACUAGGUAUGACACCUAGAUCGGAUAUGAACUCCUUCGUCCAGACUCCUUCGUUUGCUGCUUCCGAAGCAGCUAUGUACUCCGCUUCACAUGUAGAUCCCGCCAUGAUGCUUUGUUUAGAACUGCACCAACUGACAGCUCCACUGUUUAAUGUAAACACGUAUCCGGUUUGCGAUUUAGAAUCGUCCGGAUCAGUGUCAAAGCUUGCAUCAACGUAAUCGUUUACAAUGAGCUCUUUGUCACCUCCAUAUACGAGAAACAUAUCCUUAGUCCUUUUCAGGUAUUUUAGGAUGUUCUUGACCGCUGUCCAGUGAUCCACUCCUGGAUUACUUUGGUACCUCCCUGCUAAACUUAUAGCAAGGCACACAUCAGGUCUGGUACACAGCAUUGCAUACAUGAUAGAGCCUAUGGCUGAAGCAUAGGGAACAUCUUUCAUUUUCUCUCUAUCUUCUGUAGUGGUCGGGCAUUGAGUCUGACUCAACUUCACACCUUGUAACACAGGCAAGAACCCUUUCUUUGCUUGAUCCAUUUUGAACUUCUUCAAAAUCUUGUCAAGGUAUGUGCUUUGUGAAAGUCCAAUUAAGCGUCUUGAUCUAUCUCUAUAGAUCUUUAUGCCUAAUAUGUAAGCAGCUUCAUCGAGGUCUUUCAUUGAAAAACUCUUAUUCAAGUAUCCUUUUAUGCUAUCCAGAAAUUCUAUAUCAUUUCCAAUCAGUAAUAUGUCAUCCACAUAUAAUAUCAGAAAUGCUACAGAGCUCCCACUCACUUACUUGUAAAUACAGGCUUCUCCGAAAGUCUGUAUAAAACCAAAUGCUUUGAUCACACUAUCAAAGCGUUUAUUCCAACUCCGAGAGGCUUGCACCAGUCCAUAAAUGGAUCGCUGGAGCUUGCACACUUUUUUAGCUCCCUUUGGAUCGACAAAACCUUCCGGUUGCAUCAUAUACAACUCUUCUUCCAGAAAUCCAUUCAGGAAUGCAGUUUUGACAUCCAUCUGCCAAAUUUCAUAUCAUAAAAUGCGGCAAUUGCUAACAUAAUUCGGACAGACUUAAGCAUCGCUACGGGUGAGAAGGUCUCAUCGUAGUCAACCCCUUGAACUUGUCAAAAACCUUUUGCGACAAGUCGAGCUUUGUAGACAGUAAUAUUACCGUUAGCGUCAGUCUUCUUCUUGAAGAUCCAUUUAUUCUCAAUUGCUUGCCGAUCAUCGAGCAAGUCAACCAAAGUCCAUACUUUGUUCUCAUACAUGGAUCCCAUCUCAGAUUUCAUGGCUUCAAGCCAUUUUGCGGAAUCUGGGCUCACCAUCGCUUCUUCAUAGUUCGUAGGUUCAUCAUGAUCUAGUAGCAUGAUUUCCAGAACAGGAUUACUGUACCACUCUGGCGCGGAUCUCACUCUGGUUGAUCUACGAAGUUCAGUAGUAUCUUGUCCUGAAGUUUCAUGAUCAUUAUCAUUAGCUUCCUCACUAAUUGGUGUAGGUGUCACAGAAACAGUUUUCUGUGAUGUACUACUUUCCAAUAAGGGAGCAGGUACAGUUACCUCAUCAAGUUCUACUUUCCUCCCACUCACAUCUUUCGAGAGAAACUCCUUCUCCAGAAAGUUUCCGAAUUUAGCAACAAAAGUCUUGCCUUCGGAUCUGUGAUAGAAGGUGUAUCCAAUAGUUUCCUUUGGAUAUCCUAUGAAGACACAUUUCUCUGAUUUGGGUUCGAGCUUAUCAGGUUGAAGCUUUUUCACAUAAGCAUCGCAGCCCCAAACUUUCAGAAACGACAACUUUGGUUUCUUGCCAAACCAUAGUUCAUAAGGCGUCGUCUCAACGGAUUUCGAUGGUGCCCUAUUUAACGUGAAUGCGGCUGUCUCUAAAGCAUAACCCCAAAAUGAUAGCGGUAAAUCAGUAAGAGACAUCAUAGAUCGCACCAUAUCUAGUAAAGUACGAUUACGACGUUCGGACACACCAUUACGCUGUGGUGUUCCGGGUGGCGUGAGUUGCGAAACUAUUCCGCAUUGUUUCAAAUGUACACCAAACUCAUAACUCAAAUAUUCUCCUCCACGAUCAGAUUGUAGAAACUUUAUUUUCUUGUUACGAUGAUUUUCAACUUCACUCUGAAAUUCUUUGAACUUUUCAAAUGUUUCAGACUUAUGUUUCAUUAAGUAGAUAUACCCAUAUCUGCUUAAGUCAUCUGUGAAGGUGAGAAAAUAACGAUAUCCGCCACGAGCCUCAAUAUUCAUCGGACCACAUACAUCUGUAUGUAUGAUUUCCAACAAAUCUGUUGCUCUCUCCAUAGUACCGGAGAACGGUGUUUUAGUCAUCUUGCCCAUGAGGCACGGUUCGCAAGUACCAAGUGAUUCAUAAUCAAGUGGUUCCAAAAGUCCAUCAGUAUGGAGUUUCUUCAUGCGCUUUACACCGAUAUGACCUAAACGGCAGUGCCAAAAAUAAGCUGCACCAUCAUUAUCAACUCUGCAUCUUUUGGCUUCAACAUUAUAAAUAUGUGUGUCACUACUAUCGAGAUUCAAUAAGAAUAGACCACUCUUCAAGGGUGCAUGACCAUAAAAGAUAUUACUCAUAUAAAUAGAACAACCAUUAUUCUCUGAUUUCAAUGAAUAACCGCCUCGCAUUAAACAAGAUCCAGAUAUAAUGUUCAUGCUCAACGCUGGCACCAAAUAACAAUUAUUUAGGUUUAAUACUAAUCCCGAAGGUAGAUGUAGAGGUAGCAUGCCGACCGCGAUCACAUCGACUUUGGAACCGUUUCCCACGCGCAUCGUCACCUCGUCCUUAGCCAAUCUUCGCUUAAUCCGUAGUCCCUGUUUCGAGUUGCAAAUAUUAGCAACAGAACCAGUAUCAAAUACCUAGGUGCUACUGCGAGCAUUAGUAAGGUACACAUCAAUAACAUGUAUAUCACAUAUACCUAUGUUCACCUUGCCAUCCUUCUUAUCCGCCAAAUACUUGGGGCAGUUCCACUUCCAGUGACCAGUCUGCUUGCAGUAGAAGCACUCAGUUUCAGGCUUAGGUCCAGACUUGGGUUUCUUCUCUUGAGCAGCAACUUGCUUGCUGUUCUUCUUGAAGUUCCCCUUCUUCUUCCCUUUGCCCUUUUUCUUGAAACUAGUGGUCUUGUUGACCAUCAACACUUGAUGCUCCUUUUUGAUUUCUACCUCCGCAGCUUUCAGCAUUGCGAAGAGCUCGGGAAUAGUCUUAUUCAUCCCUUGCAUAUUAUAGUUCAUCACGAAGCUCUUGUAGCUUGGUGGCAGUGAUUGGAGAAUUCUGUCAAUGACGCAAUCAUCUGGAAGAUUAACUCCCAUCUGAAUCAAGUGAUUAUUAUACCCAGACAUUUUGAGUAUAUGCUCACUGACAGAACUGUUCUCCUCCAUCUUGCAGCUAUAGAACUUAUUGGAGACUUCAUAUCUCUCAAUCCGGGCAUUUGCUUGAAAUAUUAACUUCAACUCCUGGAACAUCUCAUAUGCUCCAUGACGUUCGAAAUGUCGUUGAAGUCCCGAUUCUAAGCCGUAAAGCAUGGCACACUAAACUAUCGAGUAGUCAUCAGCUUUGCUCUGCCAGACGUUCAUAACAUCUGGUGUUGCUCCAGCAGCAGGCCUAGCACCCAACGGUGCUUCCAGGAUGUAAUUCUUCUGUGCAGCAAUGAGGAUAAUCCUCAAGUUACGGACCCAGUCCGUGUAAUUGCUACCAUCAUCUUUCAACUUUGCUUUCUCAAGGAACGCAUUAAAAAUCAACGGAACAACAGCACGGGCCAUCUAUCUACAAUCAAACAUACAUAAACAAGAUACUAUCAGGUACUAAGUUCAUGAUAAAUUUAAGUUCAAUUAAUCAAAUUACUUAAAGAACUCCCACUUAGAUAGACAUCCCUCUAAUCCUCUAAGUGAUCACGUGAUCCAAAUCAACUAAACCAUGUCCGAUCAUCACGUGAGAUGGAGUAGUUUCAUUGGUGAACAUCAUUAUGUUGAUCAUAUCUACUAUAUGAUUCACGCUCGACCUUUCGGUCUCCGUGUUCCGAGGCCAUAUCUGCAUAUGCUUGGCUCGUCAAGUAUAACCUGAGUAUUCUGCGUGUGCAACUGUUUUGCACCCGUUGUAUUUGAAUGUAGAGCCUAUCACACCCGAUCAUCACGUGGUGUCUCAGCACGAAGAACUUUUGCAAUGGUGCAUACUCAGGGAGAACACUUCUUGAUAAUUUAGUGAGAGAUCAUCUUAUAAUGCUACCGUCAAUCAAAGCAAGAUAAGAUGCAUAAAAGAUAAACAUCACAUGCAAUCAAUAUAAGUGAUAUGAUAUGGCCAUCAUCAUCUUGUGCCUGUGAUCUCCAUCUCCGAAGCACCGUCAUGAUCACCAUCAUCACCGGCGCGACACCUUGAUCUCCAUCGUAGCAUCGUUGUCGUCUCGCCAAUCUUAUGCUUCCACGACUAUCGCUACCGCUUAGUGAUAAAGUAAAGCAUUACAGCGCGAUUGCAUUGCAUACAAUAAAGCGACAACCAUAUGGCUCCUGCCAGUUGCCGAUAACUCGGUUACAAAACAUGAUCAUCUCAUACAAUAAAAUUCAGCAUCAUGUCUUGACCAUAUCACAUCACAACAUGCCCUGCAAAAACAAGUUAGACGUCCUCUACUUUGUUGUUGCAAGUUUUACGUGGCUGCUACGGGCUUAAGCAAGAACCAAUCUUACCUACGCAUCAAAACCACAACGAUAGUUUAUCAAGUUGGUGCUGUUUUAACCUUCACAAGGACCGGGCGUAGCCACACUCGGUUCAACUAAAGUUGGAGAAACUGUCACCCGCAAGCCACCUAUGUGCAAAGCACAUCGGGAGAACCGGUCUCGCGUAAGCGUACAUGUAAUGUCGGUCCGGGCCGCUUCAUCCAACAAUACCGCCGAACCAAAGUAUGACAUGCUGGUAAGCAGUAUGACUUAUAUCGCCCACAACUCACUUGUGUUCUACUCGUGCAUAUAACAUCAACACAUAAAACCUAGGCUCUGAUACCACUAUUGGGGAACGUAGUAAUUUCAAAAAAUUUCCUACGCACACGCAAGAUCAUGGUGAUGCAUAGCAACGAGAGGGGAGAGUGUGAUCUACGUACCCUUAUAGACCGACAGCGGAAGCGUUAGCACAACGCGGUUGAUGUAGUCGUACGUCUUCACGGCCCGACCGAUCAAGCACCGAAACUAUGGCACCUCCGAGUUUUAGCACACGUUCAGCUCGAUGACGAUCACCGGACUCCGAUCCAGCAAAGUGUUGGGGAAGAGUUCCGUCAGCACGACGGCGUGGUGACGAUCUUGAUGUACUACUGUCACAGGGCUUCGCCUAAGCACCGCUACAAUAUUAUCGAGGACUAUGGUGGCAGGGGGCGCCGCACACGGCUAAGAAUAUGAUCACGUGGAUCAACUUGUGUGUCUCUGGGGUGCCCCUGCCUCUGUAUAUAAAGGUUCAAGAGGGGGAGGCCGGCCGGCCACCAUAGGGCGCGCCAAGAGGAGUCCUACUCCCUCCGGGAGUAGGACUUCUCCCCCAAUCCUAGUUGGAAUAGGAUUCAUGAGGUGGAAAAGAGAGAGAGAGAGAGAGAGAGAGAGAGAGAGAGAGAGAGAGAGGGAGAGAGAGAGAGAGAGAGAAGGAGGGGGGCGUCGGCCCCCUCUCUCCUUGUCCUAUUCGGACUAGGGGUGAGGGGCGUGCGGCCCAUCCCUGGCCGCCUCUCCUCUUCUUCCACUAAGGCCCACUAAGGCCCAUAUAGUUCUCGGGGGGUUCCCGUAACCUCCCGGUACUCCGGUAAAAUCCCGAUUUCACCCAGAACACUUCUGAUAUCCAAACAUAGGCUUCCAAUAUAUCAAUCUUUAUGUCUCGACCAUUUCGAGACUCCUCGUCAUGUCUGUGAUCACAUCCGGGACUCCGAACAACCUUCGGUACAUCAAAACGUAUAAACUCAUAAUAUAACUGUCAUCGAAACCUUAAGCGUGCGGACCCUACGGGUUCGAGAAUAAUGUAGACAUGACCGAGACAUGUCUCCGGUCAAUAACCAAUAGCGGGACCUGGAUGCCCAUAUUGGCUCCUACAUAUUCUACGAAGAUCUUUAUCGGUCAGACCGCAUAACAACAUACGUUGUUCCCUUUGUCAUCAGUAUGUUACUUGCCCGUGAUUCGAUUGUCGGUAUCCAAUACCUAGUUCAAUCUCGUUAUCGGCAAGUCUCUUUACUCGUUCUGUAAUACAUCAUCCCGCAACUAACUCAUUAGUUGCAUUGCUUGCAAGGCUUAAGUGAUGUGCAUUACCGAGAGGGCCCAGAGAUACCUCUCCGACGAUCGGAGUGGCAAAUCCUAAUCUCGAAAUACGUCAACCCAACAUGUACCUUUGGAGACACCUGUAGAGCACCUUUAUAAUCACCCAGUUACGUUGUGACGUUUGGUAGCACACAAAGUGUUCCUCCGGCACACGGGAGUUACAUAAUAUCAUAGUCAUAGGAACAUGUAUAAGUCAUGAAGAAAGCAAUAGCAACAUACUAAACGAUCGGGUGCUAAGCUAAUGGAAUGGGUCAUGUCAAUCAGAUCAUUCAACCAAUGAUGUUAUCCCGUUUAAUCAAAUGACAACUCUUUGUCUAUGGUCAGGAAACAUAACCAUCUUUGAUUAACGAGCUAGUCAAGUAGAGGCAUACUAGUGACACUCUGUUUGUCUAUGUAUUCACACAUGUAUUAUGUUUCCGAUUAAUACAAUUCUAGCAUGAAUAAUAAACUUUUAUCAUGAUAUAAGGAAAUAAAUAAUAACUUUAUUAUUGCCUCUAGGCAUAUUUCCUUCAGGAGGUAGCCACGAGAGGUGGUGCCCCCCAAGCCCAAUCCAAAUUGGACAAGGGGUGGGGGCGCGGCCCCCCUUUUCCUUCUCCUUCUCCCCCUCUUUCCCCUUUCCCCUCUCUGUUGGAAGGAAGGGGAAGCCGACUAGGACUAGGAGUCCUAGUGGGACAACCCCCACUUGGCGCACCCCUAGGGGCCGACCGGCCUCCCAUCCCCUCCUUUAUAUACGUGGGCAGGGGGCACCCCAAAGACACAACAGUUAUUCUCUUAGCCGUGUGCGGUGCCCCCCUCCACGGUUUACUCCUCCGGUCAUAGCGUCGUAGUGCUUAGGCGAAGCCCUGCGAGGAUCACAUCACCAUCACUGUCGCCACGCCGUCGUGCUGACGGAACUCUCCCUCGACCCUCUAUUGGAUCAAGAGUUCGAGGGACGUCAUCGAGCUGAAUGUGUGCUAAACACGGAGGUGUCGUACGUUCGGUACUUGGAUCGGUUGGAUCGUGAAGAUGUUCGACUACAUCAACCGCGUUAACCUAACGCUUCCACUUUCGGUCUACGAGGGUACAUGGACACACUCUCCCCGUGUCGUUGCUAUGCAUCUCCUAGAUAGAUCUUGCGUGAUCAUAGGAAUUUUUUUAAAAUUGCAUGCUACGUUCCCCAACAAGCCUCUACUGGACUAGAUUGUUGAUCAAAGAUGGUUAAGGUUUCCUAACCAUAGAAAUGAGUUGUCAUUUGAUAACGGGGUCACAUCAUUAGGAGAAUGGUGUGAUGGACAGACCCAAUCGUAAGCUUAGCAUCAGAUAGUUUAGUUGUUUGCUACAGCUUUCUUCAUGUCAAGUAUCAGUUCCUUAUACCAUGAGAUCAUGCCACUCCCGGAUACCGGAGAAAUACUUUUUGUGCUAUCAAACGCUACUUCGUAACUGGGUGACCAUAAGGGUGCUCUACAGGUAUCUCCGAAGGUACUUGUUGGGUUGCAUGGAUCGAGACCGGGAUAUGUAACUCCAUGUGACGGAGAGAUAUCUUUGGGCCCUCUUGGUAAUACAACAUCAUAAGAAGCUUCAUGUGACUAAUGAGUUUAGUCACGAGAUCUUGUAUUAUGGAACGAGUAAAGUGACUUGCCGAUAACGAGAUUGCUAGGAAUGGAGAUAUCGACGAUCGAAUCUCGGGCAAGUAACAUAUCGCCAAACAAAGGGAAUUGAAUACGGGAUUAACCGAAUCCUCGACAUCGUGGUUCAACCAAUAUAGAUUUUCGUGAAUAUGUAGGAACCAAUAUGGGCAUCUAGGUCCCGCUAUUGGUUAUUGACGGGAGAGGUGUCUCGGUCAUGUCUACAUGAUUCUCAAACCCGUAGGGUCGCACGCUUAACGUUCGAUGAUGCUAGAGUAGUAUUGGGAUAUUUGCAUUGGUGACCAAAGGUUGUUUGGAGUCCCGGAUGAGAUCCCGGGCAUCACUAGGAGUUCCGGAAUGAUCUGGAGGUAAAGAUGUAUAUAUGGGAAAAUUUUGUUCAAGUUCCAGAAAAAGUUUGGGGGUCCACAGGGAGCAUACCGGGUGGCACCAAAGGGUUCCGGGGGUCCACCAGAGGGACCAACAGCCUUGAAGGGCCACAUGGGCAUCAAAGGAGGGCGCACCAGGCCCUGGUGGGCCGGGCACCACUUCCCCCUUGGCCCAUGCACCUAGGGUUGGGGGAACCCUCUAGAUGCCCCCUUCACUUGGGGGGCAAGCUAUACCCCCUAGGGCCACCGACCCCUCCCCCUUGCCCCUAUAUAUAGUGGGGGUGGGAGGGCAGUCGUACCCCUUCCCUAGCACAACCCCUUCCCUUCUCUCCCACCACCUCCUUCCAGUUUGGCUUGGCAAAGCCCUGCCGGUGCAUCACAACCACCACCACACCGUCGUGUCGGUUGUGAUCCCAUCAACUUCUCCCCCUUCGCUUGCUGGAUCAAGGAGGAAGAGACGUCAUCGAGCCACACGUUUACUAAACUCGGAGGCGCCGUCCGUUCGGCGCUAGAUCGGUUUGGAUGGUGAUUGGAUCGCGAAGGGUACGACUACAUCAACUGCGUUUUUACGCUUCCGCUUUCAGUCUACAAGGGUAUGUAGACACACUCCCCUCUUGUUGCUAUGCAUCUUCUAGAUUAGAUCUUGGGUGUUCGUAGGAUUUUUUUUUGAUUUUCAUGCUUCGUUCCACAUCAAGUUGAUCUACCAUGAGAUCAGAUGUGAAUGAAUCUUCCCUCUAUGCCUCCGGCACCUCAGUUUAUAUAGACACCGGGUACCUAGGGUUUACACAUGGUUGGUUGUAUCUAAGGGGCAAACAUGUCGAGUACUAUGUCUACGUCUUGGAGUACACGCCAAGUCUCUGCGUCAUUCCUUCUUAAUGCUUCUGGACCAGACGAACAAGGCCUGCCAGGAAUAGGCUUAGGGGGGGGGGGGUCCUCAUCCCAACCCAAAGGAUGGGCAACUCACAUGCCGAGACCCCCUAAUCCAGGACUCCGUCACUCCGUUGACCGGCUGCACCCCUUGCCGACUUAGCAUCCCACGAUUGUCGCCUGGAUAAACGACCGAAGGAGGAGGAUCCCGUGCCUCCUACCCCUCUAGGCAACAACAACAUGACCAGAUCCUCGCCAUUCCCAUCACCGGUGGUGCACGAGCUUACCCUACAUCCGCGAUUGGGGACGACGAGGGCGAUGAGGAGGGGGGCGGUGAUAGGGGGGCUAGCCCCCCUCCCCCCUCCCCCCCGCCCGCCCCCAAUCGCCCUGGAGGGGGCGCGGCUCAAGGGGUUACGGGGACUCGACUCAUGGGUAGUACUAGGUAAUAGGGUUUAAUUUCUAUAGUGCCCCUCAACACUAAUAUGGUCCAUCGUUAUGUACGGAGCUGGAUGCUUGAAAUGCUUCUACGCAUGAAAGAUUACCAAACGUGUGGGUCAUAUGGAUGUAUAUAGUUUUCUAUAAGUACUUCUACCGCUUUUAAUUUACAUCUAAUUGUGUAUUAUUAUUUUCCUACUUUUUCUUUCAUUGUGUAUUAGAAGCUAGAGGUGGAGGUGUAGUGAGGCAAUACAUGCACGAGAUUUAUGGCACUUAUGAGGUAGGGCAUCACCGUUACCUAGUCUAAACAACACUUCAUAGUUUUCCUUGAUAUAAAUAGAUUUUCUAAUAUGAAAAGUGAAAUGAAACAAAGAGAAUAUGUUUUUUUUUGCGAAUAACAGAGAGAAUAUAUUUUAGAACCAAGUCCAUGUUUUUAAUAUUAUCACACUGUAUGUGUUUAGAACGAUGCUGUACACACGACGUAGGCUGCAUGAUUUAUGGACGAUGUUGUUAAUCUAGCCAUCGGUGUAAGAAGGCACACGGUAGAACAUCGUCCGAUUAUGCAUCGUGCAUGAAUCGGCCAAGCAGUGUGGUUCCGAAAGUAGUUUCGUAGUGUGUUUUAAGGGCUUAUUUGAAUCAAGUGGAUUUUGUAUUGUUUUUGGUAUUAUUUCUAAUUUGGUAGGAUUUCAACCCUCAUGAAUUCUUUUUUUCCUGAAAUUUACAGGUGUGAACAGGUAAUAAAUGUCCACGACCUGCCCUUUCCUCCUUGAAAGUUACAGUACUACUCUGGUAAAGGGUGAAAAAAGCGACUUUUACACGACCUCUCUCUUCCCCCCUCUCUGGCCAGCCGAAACAUCACUCGAACCGCAAUGGCGCCUCCCCGCGGCGGAGCUGCUGCGGCCGCUACCGCCGCACUGGACCUGACCGGCGUGCACAUUCUCGAAGCUUCCAGUGUCCCCCCGCUUCCCGAACGGUAACCACCACCCAUCCUUGCUCUCGGUUCCUUGAUCAAAUCCUUCGUAUCGAGGCUUUACGGGAGGGGAUUUUUUUGGGGGUUUCUUGAUUGAUGCAGCGGCGGUAAUGCGGUCCAAAGGAAGGGGGCUGUUGACCCGGAUAAAGAUAGGAAGAAGGAGAAGGCUGCGGCACCGAGGAUCACCGGUUGGGGGCUCCGCGAGUACAGCAAAAUAGGUCAGAUUAUGCGCCAUGGUUAAAGCUCGAGUGUUUGCUAAUUAACUAGCGUGAUUCGUCGCGCAUAUAUUGCUGGGGUAUUUGUGGAACGUUUCUGGAAGGAACCAGUUUGGGCGAUUUGAUGCGGGGCUUGGUGUUCUUCAUAGACGAUGUGUGGGAUUCCAAUGCUUUCUUUGCUCUGGCUAUUGCUGUAGCAGAUUCCAAUCUUGGUGUAGGUUCCGUUUGUGGAGGGAUUUUGUCGGAGAAUAUUGCUUUGUUUACCCCAACUGAAUUGUAGAAUGGCCAAUCUAGGUUAGAAGGUGCAGGAGCUCUCUCAAUCAAUUGGUGUCUUCAAGUUGAGAUUCAGUCCACAAUUUGACUUGGUCAAUGUGCUGUGCUUUGUGGAGUGAUCUGCUGAUGGGUGGGCCUGUUGGCAAGUGGCUCCGUGGUGGAGCGAUAUGAGUCGAUUCAGGGCAACUCCAACGCGCGACCCUGAAUGGUCCGUCCGCGUCCGUUUGGGGGUAAAUGGACAAAACAGACGGCCCAACGCGCGGGAGCAAACGGACCAAUGUCCGUUUUCAGUCCGCUUUCGACCCAUUCACGGCCCAACUUCGGGACGCGUUUGCGGCCAAACGGACGGGCGCGGACGGGCGGGGCACGUGCCGCCCUCCCCUUGGCCCACCCAUCGGUGGCACAGCCGUCCCUUUUCUCUUCCCCUGCCCUCCCUCCGCCCUUCGCCCCCCGCCAUCGCCGCCACCACCCCCGUUCCUGGCCGCGUUGCCUUCCACCAAGGCCGUCCGAACCACGACCACGCCAUGCCAUAGCUGUCCCACACCUGCCUUCCGGAAAGCUUUUUGCCAGCGUUUGUGGUUCCUCGUUGCCGGUGUGAGAGAAGCUACGUCCAUCGGCGUCGCCCAUCGACCCCAACAACUUCCGUCAGGUCGUGCAUUGCGGCAGAGCGCCCACCACCACCAUCGACCCCAAACAUUGCUUUGCUGCCUGCGAGGGGAGCAUGACGUGCACUUUCCGACCACGUCUCCACCACGACCGCAAGGCGUUCGACGCUUUGCUCACAAGGUACAAUGGAUAGUGGGGUUUAUUAUUUCUUUCACAACUUCAUUUGCUCAUCGGAUGAUCCGUCCUCGGAUGAUGAAGAGCUUGUGGUGGCUACAUUGGCCGUCCAUGACCACAUUAGUAGGAAGCGGCCUCGGUUCAGGGGAUCAAUCCCUGGCCAUGCUCCGUCCUUGAACCGCAAUAGGGAGAAAGGCCACACCCUUCUCUAUGCCGAUUACUUUGAGAAUGCCGCACUCUUCAAACCACAUCAAUUUCAUCGCCGAUUCGAAUGAGGAGACAUGUGUUCAAUCGUAUUCGGGGGGGAGUGGUAGGAUAUGACCCAUACUUUGAGUGCAAAGAGGAUGUCCUUGGCUUCUCUUCUUACCAGAAAUGCACCGCGGCUAUCCGCAUGGUUGCAUAUGGAAUCACUGGUCAUCUCGUGGAUGAGUAUGUGCGUAUGAGUGAGUCCAUAUGUCUCCUCUCAAUGUAUAGUUUGUGCAAGGCCGUGGUGGCAGUGUUCGGCCCUGAGUACACGAGAGCCAACUACCGCUGAUACGGAGAGGUUGUUGGCGAUCAAUGCCGAUAGGGGCUUUCCGGGCACAUGCUUGGUAGUAUAGAUUGUAUGCACUGGAAGUGGAAGAACUGUCCAUUUGCUUGGCAGGGGCAUUACAAGGGGCAUGUGAAAGAUGCCACUGUCAUACUUGAAGCGGUGUCUUCACAAGAUCUGUGGAUAUGGCAUUCUUUCUUCGGCAUGGCUGGUUCUCACAAUGAUAUCAACGUGCUUCAGCGUUCUCCAGUGUUUGCAAGGCUUGCAGAAGGCCAUUCCCCAGAGUUCAACUUUGAGAUCAAUGGCCACCAUUACAACAAGGGAUAUUACCUAGUUGAUGGUAUCUAUCCUCAGUGGUCAACUCUUGUGAAGACCAUAUCCAAUCCGCAAGGAGAGAAGAGACAAAGAUUUUCCCAAAUGCAGGAGAGUGCUAGGAAGGAUGUGGAGUGUGCUUUUAUGCUUCAAUCUUGAUGGGGUAUCGUUCGAAACCCUGCAUUAACAUGGAGCACUCAGAAGCUUUGGGAGGUGAUGACUGCUUGUGUGAUCAUGCACAACAUGAUCGUGGAGGAUGAGCGUGGUGAUAGCAUCUACGACCAAGGGUUCGAUUUCGAGGGUGAAAAUGUUGAGCCUGAGCAGCUACCUCCUGCAACUUUUCAACAGUUUGUCCAAUUUCAUCGUGAAAUGCGUGAUUGGAAGACUCAUGUGCAGCUUGAGAUUGACUUUGUUGAGCACAUGUGGACUCAUAUUGGCAACCAGUAGAUCUAUUGGUUUAUUUUUUUUCAUGCAAACAAAUUUUGAUUGGGUUGUAAGACUAUUUGAUGUUGUUUUUAUUUCAAUUGGGUUGUAAAACUAUUUCGGAUGUGGAACUAUUUGCUUUGUUUGAUUUGAACUAUUUGCUAUGGUUGAUUUUAGUAUAAAUGGCCUCUGGCGGACGAGACGCGGCCGAAAUGCGGCCGCGCGUUGGGCGCACCGCCGGCGCAUCCACAAAUCCGGGCGGACGCCGCCCCAUUGCCACCCCAAAUGGACAAAAAGCGGACAAAACGGAUCCGUUUGGGGUCGUACAUUGGAGUUGCCCUCAGAGCAACAAUUUCGAGAGCCCACAACAAUCCAGAGUUUGUUUUGCUCCUUUCCCCAUUAGUCAGCCGGUGUUGACCAUGCCUUGCAUGCCUCGGCCCAGGUGAAGUCAAUCGUACCAUGUGUUCCCACCGCGUUGCGGCUCUAGGGGCACGAGAUUCUUUUACUGUUGCGCUGGCUGUAUGGACAAGGAAAAGACAGCGCGGAGGCGGAGAGGGGAAAGUCAAAGGCGGUUGUGUGCAGAGCUUGAGGAGAUCUCAGCCGCUGGAAGUAGGCGGCUUGAGGGGAGUACAACGUCUUUUCCGGUUGGGCGGUCGGCGGCUGCGAGCACGCGUCUAGGAGCGGCAGCUUUGCCUGCCGGUCAUUCAGCGGCUGCAAGCAGGCGGCUGGAUGUUUGGCUGUUGCAACCCUGCCAGCUAGGAGCGAUCUUUCCUGGCAGUUGACGAAAAAGGUCCCCUCUUUGUAUUAUAAAACAACCACCACAUCACAGGUUCAUACAAGUCAAAACAAAGAGCAAAAAAGAGAGAAAAGAGAAGAAACACAAACAACAAGGAUACAUGAUAGCAAAGGAGCCACUAACAAGCACCGAAUGCACCAAGCGCAAGCUUGAGCAUCGAGGCGCUUGGCGAACAAGAGCGAGCACACGAUGCGACUAAGACAAGGUAGUGAACCGCUGCAGGAGGAUUGCCAUGCUCCGUCAACUCCCUAGAGGCCAGCCAUUGUUGGUCCGCCAUCCUCCUCUACCUUCGAAGAAGGCCCCCUUUAGUCCUGGAUCGGAGGACACUGCGCCGUCGACAGGCAGAGUCGCUCACCCCUGAGCUCGCAUGACCAGGACCAUCUGGUUGCCGGGAAGAGGACAACAAGCACGGCCACCUCACCAUGCAGCGGCACACCCCAACAUCGCCACCGCCGUUCGCAGGCAUCAACUCGGCAUCAACUUCAACUGCAAGCAGCUGAGCGGGAACACCAAUGAAAAUAUCCGACAUACCACAUCCCGUGCUGAAGCCUCGACCACCACUCCGCUGUCCCAAGGUGGUGCCUUCAAGAAGAAAACGACGCCAGAGCGCCGUCACCACCCAAUCCGGAGAUUUUGGACUUCCACCUGGGACAGGAAGGAGAGGGUGAGGGUAGGAUCGCGAUGCCGCCCUCAAGAAGGAGAACGACGGCGGGGCGCCUCUUGCAUCGUGGCCGCAGCAACCAGCCAAGGGUUUCCCCCAAUCCAUCCCUACCAGAUCCUCAGCCCCACCAACCGCUAGAGGAGGCCGCCAGCGCCGGCCGGCGAGGCAAGAAGCUCAAGGGAGGGCCUCCGUCUUCAGAUCUGCUCCAAGGGAAAACGGGGAAGCCCCGGGAGCCAGCCCAUGCCCCCGCGCACGCCGAAGGGGGCCCCACGUGAUUCUCGACUGUGGUUGCCGCCACAACUCUGGGGCAGAACACGCCGGGGGCACCACAGAGCCCAUCCCGCCAGCACCAGCCGCCGCCGCACCCUUUGCUAGCGCCGCGCCGCCGCCCGACCACACCGACCCGCGUCAGCUAUCAUCGAGCGGGGGAAGAGAGGCCUCGCCGCCGCCGCUGCUGACCGGGCUUCGCCCGUCAACGCGACUGGCGCCGGCAAGGGGAGAGGUGGGGAGGAGGAGGGGCCCUAAGGCCGGCGGCUAGGGUUUCCCCUCGGCAUCGCUCGCGGGAGCAACCGGGAGGGGGAGGGCGAGGGUUCCCAGGCUGGGCGUUCGGUGGUUGAGACCUCAAUUGUCUGAUUUUUGGUUGUUGUGGUGUAUUCUGUUGUGCUGUUGUGUGGUAAUGAUCAGCUGUAGUUCUUCCACAGUAUUAUGCUGGAGUAUUGUUGCCAUCAAUACUAUCACAGUAGGGGGCUGCCAAACCAUUUUACAAGUAGUGAAUGUUUAUCUGAGCAGACCAAGGUUGAUGUAUGUCUGUGCACCGAGUUAGAUAGGUUGUUCCUGCGUAUACGUAUGAGGAUGUCGAAGUCCAUCUGCAGAAGCGGCACAACAAAGCACGUCAGAUUGGAAGAAAACGUUGGUGGUUAGCUUGAUGCCAUGUUGGGAUUUAGAGUAUGGUAGGUGACAUUACAAAUGAUGUAUCAGUAUAUAGCAAAGCUCAUUGCUCAUUGCGGUUACUUUUUGGUGUACACUGGUUCUAGGUCAGAAGAAGUUGCGUUGAUAGAAAUUUCGUGAGGUCAUAGAUGUGCAAUAGAGGGGUUAUACCCUUGUACUAGAUGUUUCACUGUAACCUUUUUGAUGCGAGAUGUUUUUCUGUCAUGAGUGUAAACUUGAAUUGCUAACACACUGGUACUUUGACCUGAUGAGCAUUUGACAUGAUUUUGCAGUUUGUGAGAAAGUUGAAGCCAAAGGAAGAACAACAUACAAUGAGGUAUUCUCCAAAGCUCAAACGCGUGUAUCCUUCAUUGAUUGGCCAUGAUAAAUCACUCCCGAAUGUCAUGUUUAAAUAUCAAUGGAGUUUUGCUGUAAUUUUGGAUGGCUUUAUCUAACCUGUAACUGUGCAGUCUGCUUGUGAAGCACGAAGAGCAUCCUGAAUGCCAAUGCAAAAUAAUUAUCCUGCCAUUUAAAUGCUGAAAGGCAUAAAAAUCAAUACUUGUAUUACAUUGCUGCCAUGCCAUUUUUGCUGAUACAUAACACGCCUUUCAAAGAUAUAUGCUUGGGAACUGAUUUACUUUCUCCCCGCUUGAGUCAUUAACUACCUCAACCAGCUACUUUCUAUUACAGGUUGCAGACGAAAUUUAUUCAGAGCUGAAGUCCAUGGCACAUAUUGGUCAAGGGGUUUGUUCCUAUUAUUUGUAUAAUAUGGACUUCUCUGUUCCCUUUUCGCAUAUACUUUAAAAAAAGUUGAAUUAAGAAGCAUGGCUCCCAAUUUCGUUUAGCAUGGAACUGAUACAGAGUGUCGGCCCGCCAAAUGUCAUGGUUCCAGGAAGCUUAUUACAAACAUCCACACGUUUUAGAACCUCUAACCAGCACCGCCACCUUACUGUCUUUGCAACUAUAACGUUGGAACACAACAACCUAGCAGAAAACUGGGCGAUUAAGUUACAGCAAACACUACAACGCUGAAACCAAAGCUAAAUGUCAACAUCACACCGAGAACUUUCAAGUCCAUUUCUCAUCAAACUGCAAAAAACAAAAUCAUAUAUUUAUUUGUUUUUCGCGGGAGAAACAAAAUCAUAUCUGUAAUUGUGCAAAACUUAUGUGCUAAAAGAAAACAAAUUUAUCUUUGUAGUUUGAUGAGAAGAAUAUUAGGCGGAGAGUGUAUGAUGCUUUCAACGUUCUCAUUGCACUUCGUGUUAUUGCAAAAGAAAAAAAGGAGAUACGGUGGAUGGGCCUUUCAAAUUACAGAUAUGAAAAAAUAAAGAAGCUUGAGGUCAGUUUUUGUGCUUACUUUGCAGGUUAGAUGCACAGCAAUCCAUUCCUGUAUGAUUAUGAGUUGAUUGCUACCAUCUUUUUUAUAGGAAGUUCGUAAAGAACUCGUCAACAAGAUUAGGAACAAGAAGGCACUCCUCCAGGAAAUCGAAAAACAGGUAAGUUGCUUACAAUGUGCAGCAACUUUUCUUUGGUUUUGUUGUCUCUUACUACUACCUCCGUCCCAAAAUAUAAGAUGUUUUUGCAGUUAAAAUUGAACUGCAAAAAUAUCUUAUAUUUUGGGACAGAGGUAGUAUUGUAUAUAUAUACCGGUGUAUUUGAUAUCUCCUGAUGAUUCUUUCUUGUUCAUUUAAAGUUUGAUGAUCUCCAAAACAUCAAGUUACGUAACCAAACACUGGAAAGCUCAGCAGAGAAUGUUAAUGGCAUCCGCCUUCCAUUCGUAUUGGUCAAGGUAUUUUUUUUCUUGCGCUGCAACUGUCAGAGAUGCUUAACCCAGCCAGUUGCAACUAAGCUGUAACAUAUAGCUGUAUUUAGAUCACCCUUGUACUCAACUUGCACUCUGGCAUUCCCAUGUUUAUGAUUGCUGACCUAACGUAGCAUAGCAACGUAGAUUAGAACAAACAGUACCAAUGGCGCUACUAUAAAUUGUAUGGUAUUCCUACGCGGUGCUAGGAAUGUCUUUCCCUCAGAUAUGUAGUUACAUAAAACACUGGCAUAUAGAAAGAUCACGAGCAAAAAGAUACGUGCAAGUGUAUUUAAUGCCAUUUUUUCUUUAAGCAGACAUCUAGGAAAGCAAGGGUGGAAAUUGAGAUUUCAGAUGACUCGAAGUUUGCCCAUUUCGAGUUCAAUGGGUAUGUAUCUUUUUUUUUUACAUACUUCUCUUCAUAUUAGCAGUUUGAGCUCCUAACCAGAUGUCCGCAACUCUCUUUUCAGUGCACCAUUCACAUUGCAUGAUGAUCUCUCAAUCCUUGAGGGGGUAAGGCGUAACAGCAUAGGAAGAGCUGGCCGCGCCACCCUUCACUAGAGACUCAAGAAUAUUACAAAUGAAUUAAAAGUGUUAGAACUGGCACAGCCGGAUUCUUUUGCACAGCUAUGUAUAGCUAUAUAUCCUCAUGAAAACUUGACCUAGUUUAUAGGACAGUCUCUCAGGCUUGAGAAGAUUUUAACCUGCAAAUUUUGUCUCCUUUUUGUGCCUAGCAGGUUAUUAGGUCUCAGAUAGAUGAUUCAUAUAUGUGCUGCUAUGAAAACAUUGAUAGCAGCUUCGGUGCACAAGCUUCGUUGANNNNNNNNNNNNNNNNNNNNNNNNNNNNNNNNNNNNNNNNNNNNNNNNNNNNNNNNNNNNNNNNNNNNNNNNNNNNNNNNNNNNNNNNNNNNNNNNNNNNNNNNNNNNNNNNNNNNNNNNNNNNNNNNNNNNNNNNNNNNNNNNNNNNNNNNNNNNNNNNNNNNNNNNNNNNNNNNNNNNNNNNNNNNNNNNNNNNNNNNNNNNNNNNNNNNNNNNNNNNNNNNNNNNNNNNNNNNNNNNNNNNNNNNNNNNNNNNNNNNNNNNNNNNNNNNNNNNNNNNNNNNNNNNNNNNNGAUGAGUGAUGCUCGGUGCACACUCCAGUGCCGCAUCCCUGAUCAGUGUCAUGAAGGUGAAGGUAUGCAAAUUGCUCGACCUUGCCUGUGUAAUCAGGUAGUAAAUCAGUAGCAAGAUUAUCGAUACUUCUUCCUUCUAAGCUCACCUGACAUAAUGCUGAGAGCUGAAAGAAAUGUCCCUUCAAGCUGCAUUUGCUACUUGGUAUUCCCUCCGUUCUGAAUUACUUGUCUUAGAUUUGUCUAGAUACGGAGGUAUCUAGCACUAAAAUGAGUCUAGAUACAUCCGUAUCUAGACAAAUCCAAAGACAAGUAAUUCGGAACGGAGGGAGUAGGUGAUAAAUUUCGUCUGUGAUUUAGAAAUUGCUAAUACAGAGUUCGGAACAUAUAGUCACCAUAAACAUCUGGAUCAUUGGGUUUUGAAUGGGCCCCCUCCCCCUUGAGAUUAGACAGCGGCGAGCUCGAGCCGAGGAUGACGUCAGCCGAGGACGCCAUGACGUCGCCGCCAGUGGAGGAAGAACCUUGACGGGUUUGGGGAUUAGGUUUUAAGCUUGAGAAGAUAAACCAAAGUUGUGGGAUGUCAAUCCAGCGGCGCAGAAGUUUCCAAGAAUCCGACGGCGAAGUUCUUUUAGAGCAUCGGUCUUGAUGAACAAAUCUGCGCCCCUAUAUGUCUGCAGACAUGAGCCGGCCGGCCCUCAUUUGUCUGUGUCCGCAGUUUUGAACCAUCAAUUCCAUGCAACGUGGAUUCGGCCUUCGUACAAAGAUCGAAAAGAGAACUAUACUCGAUAGAGAACCAAACUUCCUACUCCUAGUUCAAGGAGAUGUCGAUGCCCGCCUUGCCGGAGCUGCGGGCCUCGUGGUCAUUGACGGUGGGGCGAAUCUUCGGCAUCUCCUCCUCCCCAUUGUUGUCCGCUAAGAUCCGCUCCCAUCUCAUGUCGCGGAGGUGGAUAAGCCACCUCCCGCUCGGACUGGAGCGAGUCAAGGAUGGCCUGGUUUUCGGCCACGAGGCCUGAAUCGGUGACAAGCGUAGCGAAGGCAGCACCCGCUUGCUCUGCCUCCAACUGUGCCUCCGCCGCGAGGUGCUCCACCUCCACCACAUCGGCUUGGGCGAGGUAGAAGCUCUUAGGCACCUGAACGCAUGUUGACUAAUGAUAAAUCAUCGCCAGGUCAGUGUUCGAGACGCUAGGAGGACAAAUGCAAACCUGUGAACCUCGAGAUAUGUUAGCAGUUAGCACGACCAAGCCAAGAGCGUUUAAAUCACUGAAUAGAGUGGGUCAAAGAUAUCAUGCUACCUAGCACAGUAAUAAUGCAAAUAUCAUGUUUGAUAUGAUGUGUUUGUAUUAUUACUGUUACUCUUACUAGUAUCAUCUACUACUACCACGACUAUUACUGCUACUAAUACUUUUCAAACGAGGUCGCGUUGACAUAAACAGUAUUGAACCAGUCUUAGGUGGCCCCAGUUAAGAGAAAUGUCAUCUCUUUUUUCAAGAAAAAACAAAGGACCUUUGCGGUUCAUUGCAUUGAAAAGAUAGGAGUACGGUUACAAUCCUCCUAGGAGGUGGGUUUUACAGAACCAACAGUCUAUGUCAUCUCUUGAUAAUCAAUCUUGUGCGAAUGUUUAAAACAGAGGAGGGUCAGGUAGGAACAAUCUAAAAUAUACUGUGUCUAAUACAAGUUCACUAGGGUCAUGUCUGUAAAGAUAUGAAAAUGGUACCAAACCAAGGGAAUCUUAAAACCAUCUCAUAAGAAAGCUUCGUAGUAACAGGCCUAGAGCAAUACAUCGCUCAGGAAGGAUUAUACUGUAUGUCUUUUCGAGGGUCGUAUUUUCUGAUUGGAGUACAAAAGAAAACAGAUGUGAGAGAUGCAUAUCCAUUUCACAAUGGAAGAAGGUAAUGAGAGAAAGUAUAUAUACUGAACAUACUAUCUCUAGCCGAAGAUAUCUGCAUACACCAUACAAGAGGUAUAUUCAGUUUGAAGUUUUACAACAGAGGGAAUGUAAGACAAGCAAUGGCCCAAUUCUGUGCCAGAGCAUAGCAAGCACAUAAACACAGUAGCCAGUACCAGAACACUUGCCAUGGGGAAGACCUGGCAGUCUAUUGAGCUCGUUCAAUAACAUAUGCUGCCCAAAAUUGGCAAGAUGUGAUGAAAGAAAAACUGCUGCAAUUUACGAUGAUGACUCCCCCAGAAACUAG
rnacentral:lncRNA from 1 species